AAAAAAACAGCAAUUCUGGGCUGGGCCUCCGGUUAAUAGGUUAGUCCCAAAAAUAAUAUAAAAGUGGAUAAUAAAGCCCAAUAAUGUCCAAAACAGUAGAUAAUAUAGUAUGGAGCAAUCAAAAAUUAUAGAUACAUUGGAGACGUAUCAUAGGGCACCCCAAAAGAGAGAAGUUUUCAUAAGUCUCACAAGUUAGGGUUAGGCAAACAGGUCUAUAGCUCUCGGGAAAGAGCACCCUUGUAAUCAUGAUGAUCAUCAUCAAUAUCAAUGAAGCAGGAUGUAGGCUUUUACCUUCACUGUGAGGGGCUAAACCUGGGUAAAACCUCGCAUCUCUCGGUUCCGACCAACCCCUCUCAAGCAACCACAUAGAUGCGUUGGCCUCAUGACUAAGUCCUCACACUAAGGACAUCUGCGGUGACAAUUCCACGACAGUUGGCACCCACGGUGGGGCCUGCGCAUGGUGGUGUUGAGUUCUUGGAGGGAUCUUUCUUAGGGAUCGAGGGGCUCACAAUUUUUCAAAUGAAGAAAAGCUGGUUUAAAAGGAUUUGCAUCAAUGUCAAGUUCAUCAGUCCAGACUUAAAGAUUUGGGAGAUUUAAGAGAAUUUAGGGUUGCACGCAUGGCCGCAUGCGACGAAGUGAUCCGUAUGGAUUGAUUUCCGCUGUAGAGUUCUACAAAGCCGCUGAGACCGACAGGAAGGUUCCCUGGACACCGUUGCAGAUCCACCAAAGGCGUCUCGUUUUCCGGAUCGAAGGCAAAAUUCGUUGCAGCCAAGCGGCCAGUCAAGGAAACACAACGACGUCUUACCAUCUACGGACAAGUACACAAGACCGGAAUUGUUGCUACUAUUGGUACAUGUCAGAUCAAAAGGAAUCAUCCAUGGUUUACUAUGUGCAGGCCGGAAUUUUUGCUACUAUUGGUACAUGUCAUAUCAAAAGGAAUCAAUCAUGUACUACUUCAACUACUAGUAGUUACUACUAGUAUGGAUUACGUGAAGCUACUGUUUUGGUCUUCAAUUUUUACCGCCGCUCCAAAAGUUACUAGAUGCACGCGCACAAACUGACUAGGAUGGUACUUUGGAUAAUUUUGGAUGAGCAGAGUUCACUAACGUUUCCAUCGAUUGGAUCAAAAAAACACGAUCUAGAAGACAGUACGUGGAAGUCAAGCUAGGAACGACCCGGACAAGGACAUGGACGGGGAUUGGAUUCGGUCUCUGCUGUCGUGGCCACAUUCCGAGCCGCCCCCGCACGGACCUGGCAUCGAGCUGUGCGCUUCUGCCGGCGUGCCUCCGCUAUCAAACCGCAUUUGCCGGUCACUGCUGUGCCCGACUCUCCUCCGGGUCGCCUCCAGCAAGUCACUGUUGCGGGCGCGCCGGCCGGCUCGCGUGCCGUGCUUUGAGCCGCCUCCGUUGAGCCGAUCUCGCCCUAGUUCCACUGCGACACGCCCUGGCCUGGAAGCGGUCUCCGCUGGCUGCUGCUGCGGGUCUUGCGCCUGUGUGCCUGUCUCUUGAGCCGCCAGCCAGCGGGCUCUGAGCUCCUCACUGUGACAUCUCUCACCCUCGAGCCACUCAUGUUUGUGGCCACGGCCAGAUCGUUGCCGAAGUCGUCAUAGUGGCCCUCUGCGCACCCGCCUCGCUGUUGCAGGCUUCGAGCUGGCCCUGCUGAGUUGUCAGCCGCGUGCCCUCAUCUCCACAAUUGCGCACCUAGACCGAGUCGCCGCUCGGGCCUGCUUCGGCGUCCCCUGCGCUGAUUUUGCAGUCCCGCCUACCUCUGUCACAGAGCCGCCUUGCCACCGGAGAGACUCUCCGCGUUGAGCUGCCGCCGGAGAGACGCCAUUUCGCGUUGAACCACUGCCGAAGAGUCGCUGUCCUGCGUCUCUCACUGCCGCGGGUCGCCUCAGCUGUCGCGCGUUGAAUCGUUAGAAGCUGUCGACCGCCUCUGUGCCAUGCCAGCUUCGCCUCGAGCACCACCACACCCAGCUGUCGCGUUGCUACUUCUAAAUCGCCGCCCCCAACUCGCUUCAACUGCAGCGGGACAAGCCGCCGCUCCUUCCGCGGCACUACGGGCCUCCUCAGUCGCGCCUCCGCGUGACCUUCGUCUCAAGUCACCGCAUCUUGUCUUUGAGCCGCCGGGUCUCUCCCGCGUACACGCGACUCCAUGACCUCGCUCAACUCUUUGGUGUGCAAGAUAUCGCCAAGCAAUUGGGUUUACUUUCCUGUAAUAUCUUGGAGUAGGAUGUUGGACGCCUAUGACCGUUAUAGGGAGCGAUGGAUCCAAGUGCCUAAAAGAUGCCACCAGAUAAAUGUUUCAUGUGCUCUGACAAUGAGUCCCUAGCUGUGGGCACAGAGCUGCUUGUGUUUGGGAUAUCAUAAAUUAUGUUCAGAUAUCGCAGUUGUCACUAUAGGUGCCAAUACUUUCGGAAAGAUACUGGGCUCUGCAGAGAUGAAUGAUUCUAUCACGCACACUUGGACGACCUUUCCCAGCAUGAGUGGGGCUAGGAAUAUGUGCUCUGGACCUCUGCUGAUUACAGUGAGAAGGAGGAGAAGAAGUAUGACAAGCUGAAUAAUAAGUGGAUCGCUUUUGGGAAAUUGCCUGAAUAGUCUGUAUCAAUGAAUGGAUGGGACCACGCUUUCCGGCCUGUGCUGACAGGCUGAUUGACAUUGGAGGCCUAAGGAUUUUUAUUGGUAAAAUCAUUGAGCUUAAUUUCUGGGCUCCGGAUGAGCAAGCCGCUAUGGCCGUGCUUGUGAGUCACCUCGGUUUGCACCAGGAGCCAGCGGCCGCCUCCGUCGCUGACCACCGACUCGCGCUGAGAGCCGCCGUAACUGAUCCACUGGCCCUGAUAAUUCUUCAGCAAGCCGCCGUUUUGAGCCGCCUUUACUGCAUCACUACUGCAGCCUGCCUCAGUCAUUUCCGCCUCGAGCGGGCUUUCCAUGCUCUGUACUAUGGGAGUGAGGAGGUCGAAUUAGGAAAAGGUUAUGCGAUGGAAUCUGGGCUGCUCGUACUGGUUGCAGAAAUGUUUAAUACGUGCUCAAGUUAAAUCUGUCGGCACAUCGAUCAUCUAUCGUCAAUGCAUCAGGUGAUGUCCGUCUGGUCUAUUUUUAUAGUACAUGUUAAUUUCUUUAAAGAGCAAUUACUCUUGCUUGUGAUGUUGUACGUAGGACAACUGUUCACCGCAAAGAGCUAUGGCCAAUAACGCUUGACGAAUAUAUGUGCAAAUUGCUAUUUCUGUGGCCCAAUUUUCAUCAACACGACAUGGCGGACUCGCCCGUCCGCGUGGCUUACUGCACAUGCGACUGACUCACCCGUCCGCACCGGCUUACAGACACAACGGCUGACUCAUUUGUCUGAUCCUGUGUUCGACUCGUCCAUGGUUGAUUUCAGUCUCAACAUGAUGAUCAUCAACUCUGCGGUGGAUAAUUACUGGCCUGACAUAUCAGGUGAAAUCCUUCCAGUAUAUUUUUAUAUUAUAUAUUGCUUUCUUUAAAAGAGCAAUUACUCUAGCUUGCAAGUUGUUUAAUGCAGGACAAGUUGUCUACUGCAAAAGGGACUAUUAUAUCACUAAGCUGUUGAAUGACUAAUACUGGUUUAUAUCAUGAUCAAAUAUGGAGAAUCUCAAGAAAACUCCUUGAGUCAUCUUAAGACUCGGGGGCUACAAUGACAUGACUCGGUAGAAUUGGCCGGUUCUAGUGAAUUCAAGAACUCCGGGUCAUUGAAAGGAAAAAAAAUAACCCGGCCCCGGAGGCUACUGUCUUAUUGGCGAAUAUUUAAAGGCCGUCAGAAGAUUUCCGGCUUAAAAAGAAGGAUUCUGGUUCAAAAUCCAGCUCAAGGGAAAUCUGUCUCCCACAAAGCUCUGAAGCUCUCAAAUCCGGUUUAAAAUACGGCUCAAGAAAAAUUAAAGGUUGCCAAAGAUAACUUGCUGCCAUGAUGCGCGGUUCAAACAUGGGUAUCCUGCCUUACGGCUUAUCUUAUUAUGGUCACUUGGGGGCUUCCUAUUCAAACAUAGGUCGUAUUCGAACCAAAGAGAACAUAGCUGUCGGUACCCUCUUAAUCGGCACAAUGCCAAACCCACUAGGGGGCUUCUUGAUCAUAUUCGAAUCAUAGCUUAACCCCUUUUGGGUCCGACUUUGAUUGUAUUCGAAUCAGAGUCGUUAAAAAAACUCUCAAGGUCAUUUGGGGGCUUCCUGUUCAAACAUAGGUCGUAUUCGAACUAAAGAGAACAUAGUUGUCGGUACCCUCUUGAUUGGCGCAACGCCAAAACCACUAGGGGGCUUCCUGAUCGUAUUCGAAUCCUAGCUUAACCCCUUUUGGUCUGGCUUACUGAUCGUAUUCGAAUCAGAAGCCUCGCUUUUUUCUCUUUGUUUGACUUAAGUUUUUUGAAAACAGUCUUUUGGGUUUGUCUUGAGAUUUUUUUCAUAUCUGAAGCAUAUAUGUGGUUUCGAUUAACCCGACUUGACUUUGGAUGAUAAGUCUGAAGGAAAUAUGCCCUAGAGGCAAUAAUAUAGUUAUUAUUUAUUUCCUUAUAUCAUGAUAAAUGUUUAUUAUUCAUGCUAGAAUUGUAUUAACCGGAAACAUAAUACUUGUGUGAAUACGUAGACAAACUAAACGUCACUAGUAUGCCUCUACUUGACUAGCUCAUUAAUCAAAGAUGGUUAUGUUUCCUAACCAUAGACAUGUGUUUUAAUUUGAUUAACGGGAUCACAUCAUUAGGAGAAUGAUGUGAUUGACAUGACCCAUUUCAUUAGCUUAGCACCCGAUCGUUUAGUAUGUUGCUAUUGCUUUCUUCAUGACUUAUACAUGUUCAUGUGACUAUGAGAUUAUGCAACUCCCAUUUGCCGGAGGAACACUUUGUGUGCUACCAAACGUCACAACAUAAUUGGGUGAUUAUAAAGGUGCUCUACAGGUGUCUCCAAAGGUACAUGUUGGGUUGGCGUAUUUCGAGAUUAGGAUUUGUCACUCCGAUUGUCGGAGAGGUAUCUCUGGGCCCUCUCGGUAAUGCACAUCACUUAAGCCUUGCAAGCAAUGCAACUAAUGAGUUAGUUGUGAGAUGAUGUAUUACGGAACAACUAAAGAGACUUGCCGAUAACGAGAUUGAACUAGGUAUUGAGAUACCGACGAUCGAAUCUCGGGCAAGUAACAUACCGAUGACAAAGGGAACAAUGUAUGUUGUUAUGCGGUCUGACCGAUAAAGAUCUUCGUAGAAUAUGUAGGAGCCAAUAUGAGCAUCCAGGUUCCGCUAUUUGUUAUUGACCGGAGACGUGUCUCGGUCAUGUCUACAUUAUUCUCGAACCCGUAGGGUCCACACGCUUAAUAUUACGAUGACAGUUUCAUUAUGAGUUUAUAUAUUUUGAUGUACCAAAGGUUGUUCGGAGUCCCGGAUAUGAUCAUGGACAUGACGAGGAGUCUCGAAAUGGUCGAGACACAAAGAUCGAUAUAUUGGACGGCUAUAUUCGGACACCGGAAGUGUUUCGGGUGAUUUCGGAGAAAACCGGAGUGCCGGAAGGGUUACCCGAACCCCCCGGGGAAGUAUUGGGCCUUAGUGGGCCUGAGGGGAGAGAGAGGGCAGCAGCCCAAGAGGUGGCGCGCCCCCUCCCAUGGGGAGUCCGAAUUGGACUAGGGAAGGGGGGCGCGGCCCCUCUUUCCCUUUCCCUCUCCCUCUCUUUCCUUCCCCUUCUCUCUUCCUAGUUGGACUAGGAAAGGGGAGUCCUACUCCUACUAGGAGGAGGACUCCCCCCUCCUUGGCGCGCCCCAAGGGCCGGCCGGCCUCUCCCCCUUGCUCCUUUAUAUACGGGGGCAGGGGGCACCUCUAGACACACAAGUUGAUCUUCGUGAUUGUUCUCUUAGCCGUGUGCGGUGCCCCCUCCACCAUAAUCCUCGAUAAUAUUGUAGCGGUGCUUAGGAGAAGCCCUGCGACGGUAGAACAUAAAAUCGUCACCAUGCCGUCGUGCUGACGGAACUCUUCCCCGACACUUUGCUGGAUCGGAGUCCGGGGAUCGUCAUCGAGCUGAACGUGUGCUAGAACUCGGAGGUGUCGUAGUUUCGGUGCUUGAUCGGUCGGGCCAUGAAGACGUACGACUACAUCAACCAUGUUGUGCUAACGCUUCCGCUUCCGGUCUACGAGGGUACGUAGACAACACUCUCCCCUCUCGUUGCUAUGCAUCACCAUGAUCUUGCGUGUGCGUAGGAAUUUUUUUUUAUUACUACGUUCCCCAACAGUGGCAUCCGAGCCUAGGUUUUAUGUGUUGAUGUUAUAUGCACGAGUAGAACACAAGUGAGUUGUGGGCGAUAUAAGUCAUACUGCUUACCAGCAUGUCAUACUUUGGUUCGGCGGUGUUGUUGGAUGAAGCGGCCCAGACCGACAUUACGCGUACGCUUACGCGAGACUGGUUCUGUCGACGUGCUUUGCACACAGGUGGCUGGUGGGUGUCAGUUUCUCCAACUUUAGUUGAACUAAGUGUGGCUACGCCCGAUCCUUGUGAAGGUUAAAACAGCACCAACUUGACAAACUAUCGUUGUGGUUUUCAUGCGUAGGUAAGAUUGGUUCUUGCUUAAGCCUGUAGCAGCCACGUAAAACUUGCAACAAACAAAGUAGAGGAUGUCUAACUUGUUUUUGCAGGGAAUGUUGUGAUGUGAUAUGGUCAAGACAUGAUGCUAAAUUUUAUUGUAUGAGAUGAUCAUGUUUUGUAACCGAGUUAUCGGCAACUGGCAGGAGCCAUAUGGUUGUCGCUUUAUUGUAUGCAAUGCAAUCGCCCUGUAAUGCUUUACUUUAUCACUAAGCGGUAGCGAUAGUCGUAGAAGCAUAAUAUUGGCGAGACGACAGCGAUGCUACGAUGGAGAUCAAGGUGUCGCGCCGGUGACGAUGGUGAUCAUGACGAUGCUUCGGAGAUGGAGAUCACAAGCACAAGAUGAUGAUGAUGGCCAUAUCAUAUCACUUAUAUUGAUUGCAUGUGAUGUUUAUCUUUUAUGCAUAUUAUCUUGCUUUGAUUGACGGUAGAAUUAUAAGAUGAUCUCUCACUAAAUUUCAAGAUAAAAGUGUUCUCCCUGAGUAUGCACCAUUGCCAAAGUUCGUCGUGCCCAGACACCACGUGAUGAUCGGGUGUGAUAAGCUCUACAUCCAUCUACAACGGGUGCAAGCCAGUUUUGCACACGCAGAAUACUCAGGUUAAACUUGACGAGCCUAGCAUAUGCAGAUAUGGCCUCGGAACACUGAGACCGAAAGGUCGAGCGUGAAUCAUAUAGUAUAUAUGAUCAACAUAGUGAUGUUCACCAUUGAAAACUACUCCAUUUCACGUGAUGAUCGGUUAUGGUUUAGUUGAUUUGGAUCACUUGAUCACUUAGAAGAUUAGAGGGAUGUUUUUCUAAGUGGGAGUUCUUAAUUAAUAUGAUUAAUUGAACUUAAAUUUAUCAUGAACUUAGUACCUGAUAGUAUCUUGCUUGUUUAUGUUUAAUUGUAGAUAGAUGGCCCGUGUUGUUGUUCCGUUGAAUUUUAAUGCGUUCCUUGAGAAAGCAAAGUUGAAAGAUGAUGGUAGCAAUUACACAGACUGGGUCCGUAACUUGAGGAUUAUCCUCAUUGCUGCACAGAAGAAUUACGUCAUGUAAGCACCGCUGGGUGCCAGGCCUGCUGCUGAUGCAACUGACGACGUUAAGAACGUCUGGCAGAGCAAAGCUGAUGACUACUUGAUAGUUCAAUGUUCCAUGCUUUACGGCUUAGAACCGGGACUUCAACGAUGUUUUGAACAUCAUGGAGCAUAUGAGAUGUUCCAGGAGUUGAAGUUAAUAUUUCAAGCAAAUGCCCGGAUUGAGAGAUAUGAAGUCUCCAAUAAGCUCUAUAGCUGCAAGAUGGAGGAGAACAGUUCUGUCAGUGAGCAUAUACUCAAAAUGUCUGGGUAUAAUAAUCACUUGAUUCAACUGGGAGUUAAUCUUUCGGAUGAUUGCGUCAUUGACAGAAUUCUCCAAUCACUUCCACCUAGCUACAAGAGUUUUGUGAUGAACUAUAAUAUGCAAGGGAUGGAUAAAACAAUUCCCGAGCUCUUCGCAAUGUUAAAAGCUGCGGAGGUAGAAAUCAAAAAGGAGCAUCAAGUGUUGAUGGUCAACAAGACCACUAGUUUCAAGAAAAAGGGCAAGGGGAAGAAGAAGGGGAACUUCAAGAAGAACAGCAAGCAAGUUGCUGCUCAGGAGAAGAAACCCAAGUCUGGACCUAAGCCUGAAACUGAGUGCUUCUACUACAAGCAGACUGGUCACUGGAAGCGGAACUUCCCCAAGUAUUUGGCGGAUAAGAAGGAUGGCAAGGUGAACAAAGGUAUAUGUGAUAUACAUGUUAUUGAUGUGUACCUUACUAGAGCUCGCAGUAGCACCUGGGUAUUUGAUACUGGUUCUGUUGCUAAUAUUUGCAACUCGAAACAGGGACUACGGAUUAAGCGAACACUGGCGAAGGACGAGGUGAUGAUGCGCGUGGGAAAUGGUUCCAAAGUCGAUGUGAUCGCAGUCGGCACACUACCUCUACAUCUACCAUCAGGAUUAGUAUUAGACCUAAAUAAUUGUUAUUUGGUGCCAGCGUUAAGCAUGAACAUUAUAUCUGGAUCUUGUUUGAUGCGAGACGGUUAUUCAUUUAAAUCAGAGAAUAAUGGUUGUUCUAUUUAUAUGAGUAAUAUCUUUUAUGGUCAUGCACCCUUGAAGAGUGGUCUAUUUUUGAUGAAUCUCAAUAGUAGUGAUACACAUAUUCAUAAUGUUGAUGCCAAAAGAUGCAGAGUUGAUAAUGAUAGUGUGACUUAUUUGUGGCACUGCCGUUUAGGUCAUAUCGGUGUAAAGCGCAUGAAGAAACUCCAUACUGAUAGACUUUUGGAACCACUUGAUUAUGAAUCACUUGGUACUUGCGAACCAUGCCUUAUGGGUAAGAUGACUAAAACGCCAUUCUCCGGUACUAUGGAGAGAGCAACAGAUUUGUUGGAAAUCAUACAUACAGAUGUAUGUGGUCCAAUGAAUGUUGAAGCUCAUGGCGGAUAUCGUUAUUUUCUCACCUUCACAGAUGAUUUAAGCAAAUAUGGGUAUAUCUACUUAAUGAAACAUAAGUCUGAAACAUUUGAAAAGUUCAAAGAAUUUCAGAGUGAAGUUGAAAAUCAUCGUAACAAGAAAAUAAAGUUUCUACGAUCUGAUCGUGGAGGAGAAUAUUUGAGUUACGAGUUUGGUCUAUGUUUGAAAAAAUGCAGAAUAGUUUCGCAACUCACGCCACCCGAAACACCACAGCGUAAUGGUGUGACCGAACGUCGUAAUCGUACUUUACUUUAUAUGGUACGAUCUAUGAUGUCUCUUACAUAUUUACCGCUAUCGUUUUGGGGUUAUGCUUUAGAGACGGCCGCAUUCACGUUAAAUAGGGCACCAUCAAAAUCCGUUGAGACGACGCCUUAUGAACUGUGGUUUGGCAAGAAACCAAAGUUGUCGUUUCUAAAAGUUUGGGGCUGUGAUGCUUAUGUGAAAAAACUUCAACCUGAUAAGCUCGAACCCAAAUCAGAGAAAUGUGUCUUCAUAGGAUACCCAAAGGAGACAGUUGGGUACACCUUCUAUCACAGAUCCGAAGGCAAGACAUUUGUUGCUAAGAAUGGAUCCUUUCUAGAGAAAGAGUUUCUCUCGAAAGAAGUGAGUGGGAGGAAAGUAGAACUUGAUGAGGUAACUGUACCUGCUCCCUUAUUGGAAAGUAGUACAUCACAGAAACCGGUUUCUGUGACACCUGCACUAAUUAGUGAGGAAGUUAAUGAUGAUGAUCAUGAAACUUCAGAACAAGUUACUACUGAACCUCAUAGAUCAACCAGAGUAAGAUCCACACCAGAGUGGUACGGUAAUCCUGUUCUGGAAGUCAUGCUACUAGAUCAUGAUGAACCUGCGAACUAUGAAGAAGUGAUGGUGAGCCCAGAUUCCGCAAAAUGGCUUGAAGCCAUGAAAUCUGAGAUGGGAUCCAUGUAUGAGAACAAAGUGUGGACUUUGGUUGACUUGCCCAAUGAUAGGCAAGCAAUUGAGAAUAAAUGGAUCUUCAAGAAGAAGACUGACGCUGACGGUAAUGUUACUGUCUACAAAGCUCGACUUGUCGCAAAAGGUUUUCGAGAAGUUCAAGGGAUUGACUGCGAUGAGACCUUCUCACCCGUAGCGAUGCUUAAGUCUGUCCAAAUCAUGUUAGCAAUUGCCGCAUUUUAUGAUUAUGAAAUUUGGCAGAUGGAUGUCAAAACUGCAUUCCUGAAUGGAUUUCUGGAAGAAGAGUUGUAUAUGAUGCAGACGGAAGGUUUUGUCGAUCCAAAGGGAACCAACAAAGUGUGCAAGCUCCAGCGAUCCAUUUAUGGACUGGUGCAAGCCUCUCGGAGUUGGAAUAAACGCUUUGAUAGUGUGAUCAAAGCAUUUGGUUUUGUACAGACUUUUGGAGAAGCCUGUAUUUACAAGAAAGUGAGUGGGAGCUCUAUAGCAUUUCUGAUAUUAUAUGUGGAUGACAUAUUACUAAUCGGAAAUGAUAUAGAAUUUCUGGAUAGCAUAAAGGGAUACUUGAAUAAGAGUUUUUCAAUGAAAGACCUCGGUUAAGCUGCUUACAUAUUGGGCAUUAAGAUCUAUAGAGAUAGAUCAAGACGCUUAAUUGGACUUUCACAAAGCACAUACCUUGACAAAGUUUUGAAGAAGUUCAAAAUGGAUCAAGCAAAGAAAGGAUUCUUGCCUGUGUUACAAGGUGUGAAGUUGAGUAAGACUCAAUGCCCGACCACUGCAGAAGAUAGAGAGAAAAUGAAAGAUGUUCCCUAUGCUUCAGCCAUAGGCUCUAUCAUGUAUACAAUGCUGUGUACCAGACCUGAUGUGUGUCUUGCUAUAAGUCUAGCAGGGAGGUACCAAAGUAAUCCAGGAGUGGAUCACUGGACAGCGGUCAAGAACAUCCUGAAAAACCUGAAAAGUACUAAGGAUAUGUUUCUCGUAUAUGGAGGUGACAAAGAGCUCAUCGUAAAUGGUUACGUUGAUGCAAGCUUUGACACUGAUCCGGACGAUUCUAAAUCGCAAACCGGAUACGUAUUUACAUUAAAUGGUGGAGCUGUCAGUUGGUGCAGUUCUAAACAAAGCGUCGUGGCGGGAUCUACAUGUGAAGCGGAGUACAUAGCUGCUUCGGAAGCAGCAAACGAAGGAGUCUGGAUGAAAGAGUUCAUAUCUGAUCUAGGUGUCAUACCUAGUGCAUCGGGUCCAAUGAAAAUCUUUUGUGACAAUACGGGUGCAAUUGCCUUGGCAAAGGAAUCCAGAUUUCACAAGAGAACCAAGCACAUCAAGAGAUGCUUCAAUUCCAUCCGGGAUCUAGUCCAGGUGGGAGACAUAGAGAUUUGCAAGAUACAUACGGAUCUGAAAGUAGCAGACCCGUUGACUAAGCCUCUUCCACGAGCAAAACAUGAUCAGCACCAAGGCUCCAUGGGUGUUAGAAUCAUUACUGUGUAAUCUAGAUUAUUGACUCUAGUGCAAGUGGGAGACUGAAGGAAAUAUGCCCUAGAGGCAAUAAUAUAGUUAUUAUUUAUUUCCUUAUAUCAUGAUAAAUGUUUAUUAUUCAUGCUAGAAUUGUAUUAACCGGAAACAUAAUACUUGUGUGAAUACAUAGACAAACUAAACGUCACUAGUAUGCCUCUACUUGACUAGCUCAUUAAUCAAAGAUGGUUAUGUUUCCUAACCAUAGACAUGUGUUUUCAUUUGAUUAACGGGAUCACAUCAUUAGGAGAAUGAUGUGAUUGACAUGACCCAUUCCAUUAGCUUAGCACCCGAUCAUUUAGUAUGUUGCUAUUGCUUUCUUCAUGACUUAUACAUGUUCAUGUGACUAUGAGAUUAUGCAACUCCCAUUUGCCGGAGGAACACUUUGUGUGCUACCAAACGUCACAACAUAACUGGGUGAUUAUAAAGGUGCUCUACAGGUGUCUCCAAAGGUACAUGUUGGGUUGGCGUAUUUCGAGAUUAGGAUUUGUCACUCCGAUUGUCGGAGAGGUAUCUCUAGGCCCUCUCGGUAAUGCACAUCACUUAAGCCUUGCAAGCAAUGCAACAAAUGAGUUAGUUGUGAGAUGAUGUAUUACGGAACAACUAAAGAGACUUGCCGAUAACGAGAUUGAACUAGGUAUUGAGAUACUGACGAUCGAAUCUCGGGCAAGUAACAUACCGAUGACAAAGGGAACAAUGUAUGUUGUUAUGCGGUCUGACCGAUAAAGAUCUUCGUAGAAUAUGUAGGAGCCAAUAUGAGCAUCCAGGUUCCGCUAUUGGUUAUUGACCGGAGACGUGUCUCGGUCAUGUCUACAUUAUUCUCGAACCCAUAGGGUCCACACGCUUAAUAUUACGAUGACAGUUUCAUUAUGAGUUUAUAUAUUUUGAUGUACCAAAGGUUGUUCGGAGUCCCGGAUAUGAUCAUGGACAUGACGAGGAGUCUCGAAAUGGUCGAGACACAAAGAUCGAUAUAUUGGACGGCUAUAUUCGGACACCGGAAGUGUUUCGGGUGAUUUCGGAGAAAACCGGAGUGCCGGAAGGGUUACCGGAACCCCUCGGGGAAGUAUUGGGCCUUAGUGGGCCUGAGGGGAGAGAGAGGGUAGCAGCCCAAGAGGUGGCGCGCCCCCUCCCAUGGGGAGUCCGAAUUGGACUAGGGAAGGGGGGCGCGGCCCCUCUUUCCCUUUCCCUCUCCCUCUCUUUCCUUCCCCUUCUCUCUUCCUAGUUGGACUAGGAAAGGGGAGUCCUACUCCUACUAGGAGGAGGACUCCCCCCUCCUUGGCGCGCCCCAAGGGCCGGCCGGCCUCUCCCCCUUGCUCCUUUAUAUACGGGGGCAGGGGGCACCUCUAGACACACAAGUUGAUCUUCGUGAUCGUUCUCUUAGCCGUGUGCGGUGCCCCCCUCCACCAUAAUCCUCGAUAAUAUUGUAGCGGUGCUUAGGAGAAGCCCUGCGACGGUAGAACAUCAAGAUCGUCACCACGCCGUCGUGCUGACGGAACUCUUCCCCGACACUUUGCUGGAUCGGAGUCCGGGGAUCGUCAUCGAGCUGAACGUGUGCUAGAACUCGGAGGUGUCUUAGUUUCGGUGCUUGAUCGGUCGGGCCAUGAAGACGUACGACUACAUCAACCAUGUUGUGAUAACGCUUCCGCUUCCGGUCUACGAGGGUACGUAGACAACACUCUCCCCUCUCGUUGCUAUGCAUCACCAUGAUCUUGCGUGUGCGUAGGAAUUUUUUUUAUUACUACGUUCCCCAACAGUGGCAUCCGAGCCUAGGUUUUAUGUGUUGAUGUUAUAUGCACGAGUAGAACACAAGUGAGUUGUGGGCGAUAUAAGUCAUACUGCUUACCAGCAUGUCAUACUUUGGUUCGGUGGUAUUUUUGGAUGAAGCGGGCCGGACCAACAUUACGCGUACGCUUACGCGAGACUGGUUCUACUGACGUGCUUUGCACACAGGUGGCUGGCGGGUGUCAGUUUCUCCAACUUUAGUUGAACUGAGUGUGGCUAUGCCCGGUCCUUGUGAAGGUUAAAACAGCACCAACUUGACAAACUAUCAUUGUGGUUUUGAUGCGUAGGUAAGAUUGGUUCUUGCUUAAGCCUGUAGCAGCCACGUAAAACUUGCAACAAACAAAGUAGAGGACGUCUAACUUGUUUUUGCAGGGCAUGUUGUGAUGUGAUAUGGUCAAGACAUGAUGCUAAAUUUUAUUGUAUGAGAUGAUCAUGUUUUGUAACCGAGUUAUCGGCAACUGGCAGGAGCCAUAUGGUUGUCGCUUUAUUGUAUGCAAUGCAAUCGCCCUGUAAUGCUUUACUUUAUCACUAAGCGGUAGCGAUAGUCAUAGAAGCAUAAUAUUGGCGAGACGACAACGAUGCUACGAUGGAUAUCAAGGUGUCGCGCCGGUGACGAUGGUGAUCAUGACGAUGCUUCGGAGAUGGAGAUCACAAGCACAAGAUGAUGAUGAUGGCCACAUCAUAUCACUUAUAUUGAUUGCAUGUGAUGUUUAUCUUUUAUGCAUCUUAUCUUGCUUUGAUUGACGGUAGCAUUAUAAGAUGAUCUCUCACUAAAUUUCAAGAUAAAAGUGUUCUCCCUAAGUAUGCACCAUUGCCAAAGUUCGUCGUGCCCAGACACCACGUGGUGAUCGGGUGUGAUAAGCUCUACAUCCAUCUACAACGGGUGCAAGCCAGUUUUGCACACGUAGAAUACUCAGGUUAAACUUGACGAGCCUAGCAUAUGCAGAUAUGGCCUCAGAACACUGAGACCGAAAGGUCGAGCGUGAAUCAUAUAGUAGAUAUGAUCAACAUAGUGAUGUUCACCAUUGAAAACUACUCCAUUUCACGUGAUGAUUGGUUAUGGUUUAGUUGAUUUGGAUCACUUGAUCACUUAGAAGAUUGGAGGGAUGUUUUUCUAAGUGGGAGUUCUUAAUUAAUAUGAUUAAUUGAACUUAAAUUUAUCAUGAACUUAGUACCUGAUAGUAUCUUGCUUGUUUAUGUUUAAUUGUAGAUAGAUGGCCCGUGUUGUUGUUCCGUUGAAUUUUAAUGCGUUCCUUGAGAAAGCAAAGUUGAAAGAUGAUGGUAGCAAUUACACGGACUGGGUCCGUAACUUGAGGAUUAUCCUCAUUGCUGCACAGAAGAAUUACGUCAUGUAAGCACCGCUGGGUGCCAGGCCUGCUGCUGAUGCAACUGACGACGUUAAGAACGUCUGGCAGAGCAAAGCUGAUGACUACUCGAUAGUUCAAUGUUCCAUGCUUUACAGCUUAGAACCGGGACUUCAACGACGUUUUGAACAUCAUGGAGCAUAUGAGAUGUUCCAGGAGUUGAAGUUAAUAUUUCAAGCAAAUGCCCGGAUUGAGAGAUAUGAAGUCUCCAAUAAGUUCUAUAGCUGCAAGAUGGAGGAGAACAGUUCUGUCAGUGAGCAUAUACUCAAAAUGUCUGGGUAUAAUAAUCACUUGAUUCAACUUGGAGUUAAUCUUCCGGAUGAUUGCGUCAUUGACAGAAUUCUCCAAUCACUUCCACCUAGCUACAAGAGUUUUGUGAUGAACUAUAAUAUGCAAGGGAUGGAUAAAACAAUUCCCGAGCUCUUCGCAAUGCUAAAAGCUGCGGGGGUACAAAUCAAAAAGGAGCAUCAAGUGUUGAUGGUCAACAAGACCACUAGUUUCAAGAAAAAGGGCAAGGGGAAGAAGAAGGGGAACUUCAAGAAGAACAACAAGCAAGUUCCUGCUCAGGAGAAGAAACCCAAGUCUGGACCUAAGCCUGAAACUGAGUGCUUCUACUGCAAGCAGACAUAACUGGGUGAUUAUAAAGGUGCUCUACAGGUGUCUCCAAAGGUACAUGUUGGGUUGGCGUAUUUUGAGAUUAGGAUUUGUCACUCCGAUUGUCAGAGAGGUAUCUCUGGGCCCUCUCGGUAAUGCACAUCACUUAAGCCUUGCACGCAAUGCAACUAAUGCGUUAGUUGCGAGAUGAUGUAUUACGGAACGAGUAAAGAGACUUGCCGAUAACGAGAUUAAACUAGGUAUUGAGAUACCGACGAUCGAAUCUCGGGAAGUAACAUACUGAUGACAAAGGGAACAACGUAUGUUGUUAUGCGGUCUGACCGAUAAAGAUCUUCGUAGAAUAUGUAGGAGCCAAUAUGAGCAUCCAGGUUCCGCUAUUGGUUAUUGACCGGAGACGUCUCUCGGUCAUGUCUACAUUGUUCUCGAACCCGUAGGGUCCGCACGCUUAAUGUUACGAUGACAGUUUCAUUAUGAGUUUAUAUAUUUUGAUGUACCAAAGGUUGUUCGGAGUCCCGGAUAUGAUCACGGACAUGACAAGGAGUCUCGAAAUGGUCGAGACACAAAGAUCGAUAUAUUGGACGGCUAUAUUCGGACACCGGAAGUGUUUCGGGUGAUUUCGGGGAAAACCGGAGUGCCGGAAGGGUUACCGAAGCCCCCCGGGGAAGUAUUGGGCCAUAGUGGGCCUGAGGGGAGAGAGAGGGCAGCAGCCCAGGAGGUGGCGCGGCCCCUCUUUCCCUCUCCCUCUCCCUCUCUUUCCUUCCCCUUCUCUCUUCCUAGUUGGACUAGGAAUGGGGAGUCCUACUCCUACUAGGAGGAGGACUCCCCCCUCCUUGGCGCGCCCCAAGGGCCGGCCGGCCUCUCCUCCUUGCUCCUUUAUAUACGGGGGCAGGGGGCACCUCUAGACACACAAGUUGAUCUUCGUGAUCGUUCUCUUAGCCGUGUGCGGUGCCCCCCUCCACCAUAAUCCUCGAAAAUAUUGUAGCGGUGCUUAGGCGAAGCCCUGCGACAGUAGACCAUCAAGAUCGUCACCACGCCGUCGUGCUGACGGAACUAUUCCCCGACACUUUGCUGGAUCGGAUUCCGGGGAUCGUCAUCGAGCUGAAUGUGUGCUAGAACUCGGAGGUGCCGUAGUUUCGGUGCUUGAUCGGUCGGGCCGUGAAGACGUAUGACUACAUCAACCGCGUUGUGCUAACGCUUCCGCUUCCGGUCUAUGAGGGUACGUAGACAACACUCUCCCCUCUCGUUGCUAUGCAUCACCAUGAUCUUGCGUGUGCGUAGGAAUUUUUUUUAUUACUACGUUCCCCAACAAAGUCGUCAUCAUAUGACAAUCAUAAACAUUUGGAAGUUUUGGCUUCUAAAGACUGGGUUAUCACCCUUACUGCACAGGUAUCCUAAACCGGUAGUAUGAUUCAAUAUCACAGGAACCAGUUUUCCAAACCGGAUUAUAUUAUUCAAAUCUUUAAUAGCCAACAUGGCUGGAUUUUUAUUAUGGUUAUCAAUAGCCAAUAUUAUGAUGGAGGUCUUCAAAGUCGCUUCAGCGCAAUGGUUAUUAUUUUAUUAAUGAACAUGAUUUAUUUUAAAUGGUGAGAAUAGUACCGAGUCGCUGCAGGCUUAGGACCCGGCACUUGGGGGCUACAUUAUUCAAAUUGUGAUUAAAUCAAAUAUGCAAGUCCCGUGUCACUGCCAGCAUGUACCAUGGCACUUGGGGGCUAAUGUAAAGUCAUUUUUUGAUCAACUUAUUGAAGACCCAACUCAUCCCAUUGUAAUGAGCCGGCCCUUGGGGGCUACCAAUUGCUCCUGUCAAAAAUUCAAGGUACACAAGCCUCAGUCCAUUAUAUUGAAAGAUCCACUACUCAGUUGGUAGAGUACAAAGCUCUUAACCUUAUGGACGUGGGUUCAACCCCAUGGUGGAGAUUACAUCAUAUGAUGUUAUUAUCAAUGAAUUAUAUACAAAGUCCCAGCUCAGUAUUAUCUUACUGAGCCGGCCCUUGGGGGCUACACGUUGCUGCUCAAAUCUACAUGAUCAUCUUUACAAAGUCCCUGCUCAUUAUUGCAUAAUGACCCGGCCCUUGGGGGCUACAAGUGAUAUGAAUAUAUUGAGAUCUACGUCUUCAAGCCGGCUGAAAAUCAGAUGGGUAUUUCAAGGCCAAUAUUUUUCACAAUAUUUCUGUGAGAAACCAAUGUCAGCAAAUUGAUUAUGAAGCUGGUAUAUUGACCCAGACUUUUCAGGAGAAAAUAACAAGGACUUAAGGGUGAUCAGGUACCGGUUUACAAGAAUUUUUAACCCGGAGCACAACCUAUCAAAUUUAUUCUUGUGUUUAUUUUGCAAGAUUAAGUUUAACAUGGAUAAAUCCAAAUUAAACUAGGGGCUAAUGUCGGGGACAUACUCCGCAGUAUGACCCGGCCGGACUUGGCCGCUCACUGGUGACCCGCCGUGACUUGGAGAUUCACUAAGUGACCCACCCGGAUCUCUCCACUCACUGAUGACCCGGCCGAGCCAGGUGACUCAUUGGUGAACCGGCAGGCGGGUCAAAGGGCGACAAGACCCGGUGGCCCAACAGGCGGUUCAUGGAAGGCCGACUCGUAUUAUGGUGGGUCGGCUUAAGAUGAAAGGCAUAAGGAAUAUUCUCCUACAAAGGAAGCAAGACUAGGACUCCAGUUGUAAUCCUAAUCCUAAUAGGACUAGUCAUGUAAGCCGCCCCUUCAACAUAUAUAAGGAGGGGCAGGGCACCCCAAAAGAGAGAAGUUUUGAUAAGUCUCACAAGUUAGGGUUGGACAAAUAGGUCUAUAGCUCUCGGGAUAGAGCACCCUUGUAAUCGUGAUCAUCAUCAUAAAUAUCAAUGAAGCAGGAUGUAGGCUUUUACCUCCACGGUGAGGGGCCGAACCUGGGUAAAACCUCGCGUCUCUCGGUUCCGACCAACCCCUCUCAAGCAACCACAUAGAUGCAUUGGCCUCACGACUAAGUCCUCACACUAAGGACAUCUGCGGUGACAAUUCCACGACACAUAAGUUCCAAAGGGACAAGUAAAAGUGGUCUUUUCUUGAUCUGGUUGAGAAAUAGGUAUUUGUGAAAAAAUAGAGUAUCCAUCAAGGAAGCAAAAAUGUGUGUGCUUAGAUAAUCUUUCAAUCAUUUGAUCAAUAAAAGGCAGAGGGCAAUGAUCUUUUCUAGUUGCUUUAUUUAAUUUUCUAAAAUCAAUUACCAUUCUAUAUCCUGUAACAAUUCUUUGUGAAAUAAGUUCAUUCUUAUCAUUAGGAACAACAGUUAUACCUCCUUUCUUAGGGACACAAUGAACAUGACUUACCCAUCUACUAUCAGCUAUAGGAUAGAUUAUACCUACUUCCGGAAGUUUUAAUAUUUCCGCUCUUACCACUUCUUUCAUCUUUGGAUUUAACCGACGUUGGUGAUCAACAACGGGUUUAGCAUCAGGUUCCAUAUUAAUUUUGUGCUAACAUAGAGUGGGACUAAUGCCCUUUAAAUCAUCAAGAGUAUGUCCAAUAACAGCUCGGUGCUUCCUUAGAACUUUCAAUAAUCUUUCUUCUUCAUGUUCUGAAAGGUUAGCACUAAUAAUAACAGGAUAUAUUUUCUUUUCAUCAAGAUAAGCAUAUUUCAAAGUGUCUGGUAAUUGUCUUAAUUCAAACAUAGGAUCACCUUUAGGUGGAGGAGGACCUCCUAGAGUUUCAAUAGGAAAAUUGUGUUUAAGCAGAGGACGUUGUCAAAGAAAAUCUUAUCUAUUGCAUUUCUUUCAUGCAUAUGUAAAUCAUUUUCAUGGUCUAACAAAUAUUGUUCUAGUGGAUCAGUAGGAGGCACAUCAAUAGAAGCAGGACCAAUUAAUUCAUCUUUACUAGGCAAUUCUUUUUCAUGAAGCUUUCUACUAAACUUGGAAAAAAUAAACUCAUGAGACUCAUCACCAAAACUAACACCGACAGUUUGUUUCUCACAAUCUAUUUUUGUUGGGGAACGCAGUAUUUAAAAAAAAAAUCCUACAAUCACGCAAGAUCUAUCUAGGGAUGCAUAGAAACGAGAGGGGAGAGUGUGUCCACGUACCCUCGUAGACCGAAAGCGUAAUCGUUAAGUAACGCGGUUGAUGUAGUCGAACGUCUUCGCGAUCCAACCGAUCAAGUACCGAACGCACAACACCUUCGGGAUCUGCACACAUUCAGCUCGAUGAUGUCCCUCGAACUCUAGAUCCAGCUGAGGCCGAGGGAGAGUUUCAUUAGCACGACGGCGUGUUGACAGCGAUGAUGAAGUUACCGACGCAGGGCUUCGCCUAAGCACUACGACAAUAUGAUCGAGGUGGAAAUUUGUGGAGGGGGGCACUGCACACGGUUAAGAUCAACUUGUGUGUCUAUGGGGUGCCCCCCUCCCCCGUAUAUAAAGGAGUGGAGGAGGGGGAGGGCCGGCCUCCUAGGGCGCUUCCCAAGGGGGGAUUCCUACUCCUACUAGGAGUAUGUUUCCCCCCUUUCCUAGUCCAACUAGGAGGGGGAGGAAGGGAAGAGGGAGAAGGAAAGACCCCACCCCUCAAAAACCCUACCCCAAUUCGGAUUGGGCCUAGGGGGCGUGCACCACACAUGGCCGCCUCCUCCUCUCUUCCACUAUGGCCCAUCAAGGCCCAUUAACUCCCCGGGGGGUUCCGAUAACCCCCCGAUACUCCGGUAAAUGCCCGAACUAAUCCAAAAUCUUUCCGGUGUCCAAACAUAACCUUUCAAUAUAUCAAUCUUCCUGUCUCAACCAUUUCAAGACUCCUCAUCAUGUCCGUGAUCACAUCCGGGACUCCUAACUACCUUCGGUUCAUCAAAACACAUAAACUCAUAAUACUGAUCAUCAUCGAACGUUAAGCGUGCGGCCUACGGGUUCGAGAACUAUGUAGACAUGACCGAGAUUCAUCUCCAGUCAAUAACCAAUAGCGGAACCUGGAUGCUCAUAUUGGUUCCUACAUAUUCUACGAAGAUCUUUAUCGGUCAAACCGCAUAACUACAUAUGUUGUUCCUUUUGUCAUCGGUAUGUUACUUGCCCGAGAUUCGAUUGUCGGUAUCAUCAUACCUAGUUCAAUGCCGUUACCGGCAAGUCUCUUUACUCGUUAUGUAAUGCAUCAUCCCGCAACUAACUCAUUAGUCACAUUGCUUGCAAGGCUUAUAGUGAUGUACAUUACCGAGAGGGCCCAGAGAUACCUCUCCGACAAUCGGAGUGACAUAUCCUAAUCUCGAUCUAUGCCAACUCAACAAACACCAUCGAAGACACCUAUAGAUCAUCUUUAUAAUCACCAAGUUAUGUUGUGACGUUUGAUAGCACACUAAGUGUUCCUACGGUAUUCAGGAGUUGCAUAAUCUCAUAGUCAUAGGAACAUGUAUAAGUUUUGAAGAAAGCAAUAGCAAUAAACUAAAUGAUCAUAGUGCUAAGCUAACAGAUGGGUCAAGUCAAUCACAUCAUUCUCUAAUGAUGUGAUCCCGUUCAUCAAAUGACAACUCAUGUCUAUGGCUAGGAAACUUAACCACCUUUGAUUAACGAGCUAGUCAAGUAGAGGCAUACUAGUGACACUCUGUUUGUCUAUGUAUUCACACAUGUACUAAGUUUCUGGUUAAUACAAUUCUAGCAUGAAUAAUAAACAUUUAUCAUGAUAUAAGGAAAUAUAAAUAAUGAUUUUAUUAUUGCCUCUAGGUUAUAUUUCCUUCAAUUUUAGCAUUAACGGUGUUCAAGAAAGGUCUACUAAAGAUAAUGGGACAAAAGUCAUCUUGUGGGGAACCAAGAACAAGAAAAUCAGUAGGGUAUUUUAUUUUCCCACACAGGACUUCAACAUCUCUAACAAUCCCAAUUGGUGAUAUAGUGUCUCUAUUAGCAAGUUUAAUAGUAACAUUAUGGCUUCUAUCUCUGCGGGUGCUAUGGCAUUCAUAAUUUCUUGAUAUAUGGUGUAAGGAAUAGAACUCACACUAGCACCUAUGUCACAUAAACCAUGAUAACAAUGAUCUCCUAUUUCAACUGAGACAACGGGCAUGCCAACAACAGGUCUAUGUUUAUCUUUUUUAUCCGGUUUGGCAAUUCUAGCAGCUUCUUCACAGAAGUAAAUAACAUGCCCAUCCAUAUCUUCUUCCAAGAGAUCUUUAACCAUAACAAUACUAGAUUCCACUUUAAUUUGUUCAUCAGGUUUAGGUGUUCUAAUAUAGCUUUUGUUAACCACAGUUGAAACUUUAGCAUGUUCCUUUAUCCUAACAGGGAAAGGUGGUUUCUCAAUAUAAGCAGUAGGAACAACUGGAUCAACAUUAUAAAGUAUAGUUUCUUCUUUAGCUAGUACUGGUUCUUUGGUUUCUUCUUUAAUAGGUGGGUGAUAUUUAAACCACUUCUCUUUAGGGAGAUCAACAUGAGUAGCAAAUGAUUCACGAAAGGAAGCUACUAUCUUAGAGUCAAGUCCAUAUUUAGUGCUAAACUUUUGGAAAGCAUCGGUAUCCAUAAAAGAUUUAACACAAUCAUACUUAAGUUUAAUACAUGACUCUUUACCUUCGUCGAGUAACCAAUCUUCAGAGUUGCGUUUAAUUCUUUCCAAAGAUCCCACCAGAAUUCAAUAGUCUUCUUCAUAAAAGAACCAAUACAAGAAGUAUCGAGCAUGGUUUGAUCAUUACGAGAAAGUCGAGCAUAAAAAUUCUAGAUAAUAAUUUCUCUCGAGAGCUCAUGAUUGGGACAUGAAUAUAACAUUGACUUAAGCCUCCCCCAAGCUAGAGCGAUACUUUAUCCUUCACGAGGCCAUAUAUAUAUAUAUAUAUAUAUAUAUAUAUAUAUAUAUAUAUAUAUAUAUAUAGUUCCGAUCACGAUGAACUAGAUGCAUAGGAUAAUUUUUUUAUGGAACUUCAAUUUCAAUUUAUUCCAAUUCCAAGAUUCAAUAUCAUCGCAUAGCCGAUACCAUGACAAUGCUUUUCCCUUCAAAGAUAAAGGGAAACCCUUUUUCAUAACUUCAUGUCCGGGUAAACCUGCAAACUUAAACAAUCCACAAAUUUGUUCUACAUAUAUCAAAUGCAUAUCAGGAUGUUCGGUUCCAUCUCCUCCACAAGGAUUAGCUAGCAGUUGUUCUAUCAUACCCGAAGGAAUUUCAUAUUCAAUAUUUUCAGUAGGUGCAGUCGGUUGAGGGGUAGCUAAUUGUGGUUCCGGUUGAGGUGAAGAUACCCCGAACAAACCCUCAAAGGAUUGUUUUCCAUAGUAACAAGUGACAAUAAAUUUCAGCACACUAUAUAAAUGUUUCCUUACCAAAGGCGCCAGAAAAUAGCCUUGAUGACCCACAAGUAUAGGGGAUCAAUUCUAGAUCUUUUCGAUAAGUAAGAGUGUCAAACCCAAUGAGGAGCAGAAGGAAAUGACAAGUAGUUUUCAGUAAGAUAGUAUCUGCAAAUGCUGAAAUUGUAAGUAACUUAGUAGUUUGAUAGCAAGAUAAUUUGCAACGGGCAAGUAACGAUAGUAGUAACAAAAGUGCGGCAAGGUAGUGUUGGGGAACGUAGUAAUUUCAAAAAAAUUCCUACGCACAUGCAAGAUCAUGGUGAUGCAUAGCAACGAGAGGGGAGAGUGUUGUCUACGUACCCUUGUAGACCGGAAGCGGAAGCGUUAGCACAACGCGGAUGAUGUAGUUGUACAUCUUCACGAUCCGACCGAUCAAGUACCGAACGUACGGUACCUCCGAGUUCAGCACACGUUCAGCCCGAUGACGUCCCUCGAACUCCGAUCCAGCCGAGUGUUGAGGGAGAGUUUUGUCAGCACGACGGCGUGGUGACGAUGUUGAUGUUCUACCGACGCAGGGCUUCGCCUAAGCACCGCUACAGUAUUAUCGAGGUGGACUAUGGUGGAGGGGGGCACCGCACACAGCUAAGAGAUCAAUGAUCAAUUGUCGUCUCUAGGGUGCCCCCUGCCCCCGUAUAUAAAGGAGCAAGGGGGAGGCGGGCCGGCCCUCUAUGGCGCGCCCCCAAGAGGGGAAUCCUACUAGGACUCCAAGUCCUAGUAGGUUUCCACCAAAAGGGAGAGAGGGGGAAGGAAGGAGAGGGAGAGGGAGAAGGAAAGGGGGCCCCCCUUCCUUGUCCAAUUCAGACUCAAGGGGGAGGGGGCGGCCUGCCCUGGCCGCCCCUCUCUCUCUCCACUAAGGCCCAUCGAGGCCCAUUAGUUCCCUGGGGGUUUCCGAUAACCCUCCGGCGCGCUGGUUUUAUCCGAAACUUCUCUGAAACACUUCCGGUGUCCGAAUAUAGUCGUCCAAUAUAUCAAUCUUUAUGUCUCGACCAUUUCGAGACUCCUCGUCAUGUCCGUGAUCACAUCCGCGACUCCGAACAACCUUCGGUACAUCAAAACACAUAAACUCAUAAUAAAACUGUCAUCGUACUGUUAAGCGUGCGGACCCUACGGGUUCGAGAACUAUGUAAACAUGACCGAGACACGUCUCCGGUCAAUAACCAAUAGCGGAACCUGGAUGCUCAUAUUGGCUCCCACAUAUUCUACGAAGAUCUUUAUCGGUCAGACCGCAUAACAACAUACGUUGUUCCCUUUGUCAUCGGUAUGUUACUUGCCCGAGAUUCGAUCGUCGGUAUCUCAAUACCUAGUUCAAUCUCGUUACCGACAAGUCUCCUUACUCGUUCCGUAAUUGUAGGAUCGAAAGUAUGUCUAGAGGGGGGGUGAUUAGACUACUUGACCAAAUAAAAACUUAACCUUUUCCCAAUUUUAGUUCUUGGCGGAUUUUAGCUAUUGUAGGACAAGUCAAGCAAUCAUCACACAAUUCAAGCAAGCAUGCAAAGAGUAUAUUGGCAGCGGAAAGUAAAGCAUGCAACUUGAAAGAAUGUAAAGGGAAGGGUUUGGAGAAUUCAAACGCAAUUGGAGACACGGAUGUUUUUCCCGUGGUUCGGAUAGGUGGUGCUAUCCUACAUCCACGUUGAUGGAGACUUCAACCCACAAAGGGUAACGGUUGCGCGAGUCCACGGGGGGCUCCACCCACUAAGGGUAACGGUUGCGUGAGUCCACGGAGGGCUCCACCCAUGAAGGGUCCACGAAGAAGCAACCACCCACAAAGGGUCCACGAAGUAGCAACCUUGUCUAUCCCACCAUGGCCAUCGCCCACGAAGGACUUGCCUCACUAGCGGUGGAUCUUCACGAAGUAGGCGAUCUCCUUGCCCUUACAAACUCCUUGGUUCAACUCCACAAUCUUGUCGGAGGCUCCCAAGUGACACCUAGCCAAUCUAGGAGACACCACUCUCCAAGAAGUAACAAAUGGUGUGUAGGUAAUGAACUCCUUGUUCUUGUGCUUCAAAUGAUAGUCUCCCCAACACUCAACUCUCUCUCAUAGGAUUUGGAUUUUGUGGAAAGAAGAUUUGAGUGGAAAGCAACUUGGGGAAGGCUAGAGAUCAAGAUUCAUAUGGUAGGAAUGGAAUAUCUUGGUCUCAACACACGAGUACGUGGUUCUCUCUCAGAACAUAUGAGUUGGAAUUGUGUAUGUGUUCUGAUGGCUCUCUCCAUGAAUGAAGAGGAGGUGGAGGGGUAUAUAUAGCCUCCACACAAAAUCCAACCGUUACACACAGUUUUCCAAUCUCGGUGGGACCGAAUCAACAAACUCGGUCGGACCGAAAAGGUAAACCUAGUGACAGUUAGAGAUUUUCGGUGGGACUGACAUGCAACUCGGUAGGACCGAUAUGGUUAGGGUUUGGGCAUAACGUAAUCUCGGUGAGACCGAUUACACAAACUCGGUGAGACCGAUUUUGGUAAUUAGCUAACCAGAGAGUUGGUCAGGCAAACUCGGUGGGACCGAUUUGCUCUUUCGGUGAGACCGAAAAGUUACAAAAAGGAAACACUGAAUUUACAUUGCAAUCUCGGUGGGACCGAUUCGCUCUUUCGGUGAGACCGAAAAGUUACGAAAGGGAAACAGAGAGUUUGCAAUCCCAUCUCGGUGAGACCGAGAUCCCUAUCGGUAGAACCGAUUUGCUAGGGUUUGGCAGUGGCUUAUGACAAGUGAAACUCGGUGGCGCCGGAUAGAAAGAAUCGGUAGGACCGAGUUUGGCUUAGGGUUUAGGUCAUUUGUGGAUAUGGGAAAGUAGUUGAGGGUUUUGGAGCAUAUCACUAAGCACAUGAAGCAAGAGGCUCAUUAAGCAACACCUCAUCCCUCCUUGAUAGUAUUGGCUUUUCCUAAAGACUCAAUGUGAUCUUGGAUCACUAAAAUAUAAAAUGAAGAGUCUUGAGCUUUUGAGCUUGAGCCAAUCCUCUGUCCUUAGCAUUUUGAGGGUUCCACUUUCACCAUCCAUGCCAUGCCAAUCAUUGAGCUUUCCUGAAAUAAUCAUCUUAGAAUAGCAUUAGCUCAAUGAGCUAUAUGUUGUUAUGAAUUACCAAAACCACCUAGGGAUAGUUGCACUUUCAAUCUCCCCCUUUUUGGUAAUUGAUGACAACAUAUAGAUCAAAGCUUCGACAAAUGAUAAUAAGCAUGAAAUAUAUCGUCGCUUUGAGAAGUAUGUGACAAGUAAGAGCUCCCCCUAAAUUUGUGCAUUUUUAAAAUUUGCUUUGGACUGCAAAUGCACAAGGAGUUAGAGUCAUGGGUUACUCUUCCAUGUCACAUACAUCUUGGUGGAGCGCUUAAAAUGAUAAGAAUGAAAUACAUGCACUCAUCACCAAGGAUAGUGAAUGAUCACAUAAGAUAGAUAAGAUGAUAAUAUUAAGCAAACAUAAGUGUAGCUUAUGAUCAAACACAUGAUCAUCAAUGUCUCACGAGCAAUGACAUAGUAUCUCAAGCACUCAAAAGCAAACAAAGUUCGAAAAACCACCAAAUAAAACAAGAGAGAAUAAAGGCAACACUCUCUCUCGAAGCCUAUGAUCUAUACAUUUUCUCCCCCUUUGGCAACAAGUUACCAAAAAGUUCCUAGAAAAUGCAUAGUGCUAGAUCAAUGCUCAGGCUUGAUCUUCUGGUGGUGGUGGAGUCCGGAGCACUCCAAGGACGAAGCCUUCUGUAGACGUGGUCGGAGUUGAAGCUGAAGUGGAUGCUGGAGCUGGUGGAACUGAAGUUGUAGCAACUGGCACUGCAUGUGAUCUCUGAGCUCUUGGCACUCUGGCAAAUGCAUCAGUUGUAGUCUUGCCUCUCCUCUCCUGCAUGUCAUCCUGAAGUUGUUCCACUGCAGACUGAAUCUCUGUUACUUUGACAUCCAAGUCAUAGAACUUCUGUUCCAUGAUCCUCUCUAAGCUCUGCUGAUUCUGAGUGAGGGUGGCCAGUCCUUGCUCAAUCCUCAGUGUGGAUGCAAUCAAGUAACCAAGCUGCUCUUGUUUGGUUUUCAAGAAAUACUCAGAUGCCUCCUCUUGAGUUGGCAUCUUGGCAGCUUUCUCCUUCUUUGCCUUCUCCUUCUUUGCUUGUGCUUGGGCAGACGAUGGUUCAUUCUUAGUCAUAACAACUUGAUUAUCUUCAAAAUCUGGAUGGAUGGGCAGGUUUUCCUUGUCCAAUAAGUAUAUGUCCGUGCCCAUCUUGGAGUUGAUGAGCUCCUGAAUCUGUGGGGCAUAUCCACAGCUCCUCUUUUGGUCUGCUGCUGCCCUCUUGAUUGUCUCUACCAUGAGGCUCAUCACCUUGAACUUCUGUGGCACAUCAAAUAUAUGAAGCAAAUUUAUUGCAUGGCCUCUGAUCAUCUUGUGAUCUCCAGACUUGGGCAACAAGGUGUGCCUCAAAAUCCAAUUAAUAGUUGGCAGCACUGACAGAAGAUAAUGCACCGAGCCAAAUUUGAAAGUUUCAAGAGCUUCAUUUGGAAUCUCCUUGUACAUAUUGGACAUAGAGUUGUGGUCCAUCUUCUUCUUGGCAUAGAUAUCCAAGUCAUCCUCAUGCUCCUCUGGGGCAUUGAUCAGCUGAGCCCAUUCAGCAACUGUAGAUUGGUACCUCGUACCUUCAGACAUCCAUGUGAUCUUUCCAUCUGGGUAGAAAUGUGCCGUGGAGUAGAAUUGCAUAAUAAGUUCCUCGUUCCACUUUGUGAGCUUCUGCCCAACAAAGUAUGCUACUCCAUAAGCAUUGAAGCUGUCUUGCACUCCAGGAUAGUGCUCUUCAUUGUCCUUGAUGUAUUGCCAGUCAACCCAUCUCAUAUCACAGACUAUUGGCUUCUUAUCAAGCAGCACUGUCUCAUAGAAAUCUUGUUGUUCCUUGGUGUGAAACCUGUAAUCCACAGCAGUUCUUCUCCUUGAAGCAUACGGCUCUGCUUCUCUCCACUUCCUGAGCCCUGAGUCUCUCCUGAGCUUCAUGUCCUCAGGCACAGGAUGAGCAUCACUAUGGUCUGGGAUCUUGGGCUUGAGCUUUCUGAGCACUUGACCUUCUUCUUCUUCAGCAAUGUCAGGCACUUGGGCCUUGUUCUUUUUAGCUGCAGGUAUGCUCCUUGUAUUUCUCUUUGGUGCAGACUUGGGCUUGGAGGCAGCUUUGGGUGCUUUUUUGGGCUUAGAUGUGGCAGCCCCUGAUCUUAUAGCAUCACCCAUAAGCUUAGGUGCCUUAGGUGCUGGUGCAGCAACCUCUUCUUCUUCCUCUUCUUCCAUGAUGGAAGCCUUUCCAAGCACUCUGGCUAUGGUCUUCUUGACCCUUUCCUUCCUUUUCUUGCCUUCAGCAGCAACUGGCUCUAUGGGAGUGGGCUUCUCAGGAAUCUUGGUUGAAGCUCUGGCCUUUGGCAUAGGCUGCCUGCCUGCUGGCCUUUUGAUCUUUAAGCCUGGCUUUGUGCCCUGUGCUGGCUCAACUCUCUUUGAUGUGGCUUCCUCUUCCUAUGCCACAUAAUCUUCAUCCUCAGAUUCUGAGGUUCUCUUCUUCCUCUGUCUGGUGGCAGCUUUAGGCAGAUUGCUAGGAGUACUUCUGCUGCCAUCAUCUGAAGAACUUGAGGGACUAGUGCCCUCACUCAUCUGCACUUGCUCUUCUGACAUGUUCUGGCUAUCACUUUGGUCUGACAUGAUGAACAAGCUGACUGCUGACCCUGUGAAUAGUUUAUAGAUGAGGUAGAAUAGAUGAGCAUCACCAAAAUGCAGAGAUUUUUGCAAAAGAAUGAUCCAAAAACUUAGUUUUAGUUUCCCACUGAAAUCAUCUCGGAUCUACCGAUUUUCAAACUCGGUGAUACUGAAGCAGUUUUGGAACCUAAACUAGUGAACACGGUUGGACCGAGUCACAGUUUGGUGGCACCGAGACUGCUAGGGUUUCACAAAGUUCCAAAAUCGGUCACACUGAUAAGUAAUUCUCGGUCAUACCGAGUCUCACUUGUGCAAUGGCAUGAGCCAAAUUGGUGGGACCGAGUUUUUCAACUCGGUGGGUCCGAGAUCGUUUCGGCGGAAACCUAAACCUAGAAUUUUCGAAUCAAACCUAAUCUACGAGCGCAUUGACUGGAUAGGAGUGUUUCAAUCGUGGCAAGAAUCAUUAAGAACACAAUGUGCUAGGAAUCGGACGGGGAAUAGCACUGUGAUCGAGUCCAUACCCUAGUUCGGCGGAGACUCGCUACGGCGGCAACGGCGGGGUUGAAUUCCGUUGACGGCGAUGGAGACCGGCGACUGGAGGCGGCUGGCAGCGAGUAGACGAUCCGGAGACCACGUUGGCAGAGCAGGCUAUCGCGCGGGCGAAGGGGUUCGGAGAAAUUUCCAAAUUUUUGCCCGUGACUAUAUAUAGCCCGACCCUGUCGGUGUGACCGAGUGGAACAACUCGGUGGCACCGAGAUGCAAAACUGUACCGAAUGGUUCAAAUCGGUUGCACCGAGAUGCAAAACUGUACCGAAUGGUUCAAAUCGGUUGCAUCGAGAUCGAAAACCUAGAUCAACUUAAUGAGCUCGGUAGGACCGAAAGUGGGGUAUCUGUCAGACCGAGAAUCAUAAAGAGGUUUUGGAAGUUUAAGUCUAUGACGAAUCGGGGACUCCGAGCGCUCCUCACACAGAGUGGUUCGAAUCUGACUUGAUCAAAUUUUGUGAUGUAGCAUGAAUAGAGUUUGAGACGAGAAAAGCAUAGAUAGCUAGAGGAGGUUCUUAGGCAUUCUUGUCCAUCCACUUGGAAAAAGGAAAUAAAACCAAACAAUCAAAACAACAAGUGGAUGUCCUCGAAUGAGUAAAAUAUGCAACCAGCAUGCUCACACAAUAAGAUGGCAAAUGAAAUAUGUGACAAGACAUGCACAACCAAUUCUAGCAUCUAUCAAGCAAUUUGCGAUGACAAGGUCAUCUAUAUAUGAGUAUAUUGACUUAGGAGUCAAGUGAGAACACUUGAUCAUAGGUCAUACUCAUCAUUUAAGCUCAAGUGGGGUUACCACUUUUACAUAAAGCAUUGUUGUGUUCACAUCUUUAGAGUUGCUUUAGCUCAAGUCUUAGAGUAAAGCUCCCCCUAGAUGUGAUAUCCCCCUUAGAGGGAUGAACUAACCUUGGGUUUUGUCGAUGAUGACUUCAUGUAGAUGUUGAAGAUGUGGAUGCUCAAUGUUGAUGUAGAUCACUUGGAGCUAUCCAUUUGAGUGAAUUGCACUUUCAAUACCUACAUGGGUUAGUCCCACAAGGAACAAACAAGGAUAUCCAUAGACAUAGAGUGAUGCACACACAAGAUGAUGUCCAUGAAAACUUUUAGGUUACCUUGUCCCUUGUCUUACCAACAAUAGGGUUUGUGACUCCUUGAACUAGUGCAAGAUGUGGAAGUUGAUUGCACUUGUUCUUGCCAAAAUGAUAAGAGUGAAGUAUGUUGGCGGAGUCACCCUCAAGAACUCUCUAGUUCUUCUUCUUUUGGAUCCACACCAUCUUGAUGGGAAUCCUUGGAGUUGUAGUCGUACUUGAUGAAGUGGAACUUGAAGUAGUCUUGGGAAUCCACUUGACUGAGGUCUUAGGAGCUUCUUCAAAUGCAUCAAUUUCCUCUUGAAGCUUGUCCUUGCCUUUUUUUCUUGUAGUCUUGUGGUGGAAGAUCAUCUUGAGCUUGUGUCCCCUUGAAAGAAGUAUCAUACUUCUCUUGUUGAGGAACAAACUUUGUCUUGGGGUAUUGAUCUUCUUCCCACUCAACUCCAUUGGCAUUGAACUUUCGUUCAAAACCAACACCUUGAUUCUUCCGGUGCAUUCCUUGCUUGCGCACAAUUUCCUCGAAUUGCUUACUCCCGGCAAGGCUUUUGUACACUCCUUUCUCUAUAAUUCCCUUCAAUAAGCUAUUUUCUUGCUCAAGUGUAACUUGGCUAAGAGAAUCAUUAGUGGAAUCAAGAGAACUACUAGAAGCAAUAAUAUUGGAUUUAGCAUGAUCAUUGUUACUGCUAGAGGAAGAAUCUUUCUUCUUACUAGACUUGACUUGAGGCAUGUAAGUGGAUAAGAGUAAACGCUUGGCAAUGUAAGAAGAACUUUUCUUGCGGAUAUCAUCAUUGAUUGCUUUUAAGAACUCAUGCUCUUGCUCAAUAUUGAGCUUUUCAAAGCGUAAUUUCUCAUGAGCUCUUAAAAGUUCUCGAUGAUCUUCGAAGAUAGUUUCAUGAGCUAACUUAAGAGUGUUUAGUUCUUUAGUUAGAGCCUCAAUCUUCUCCUUAUCAUUGUCAUUCGUUUUAUCUUGAUUAGCAUGAUUAAUUGAUGUUUCAUCAUAGUAUUCAUCACUAGAGUUGUCAACAAGCAAAUCAUCACCUAACAAGUCAUCUUCAUCACUAUUGAAAUCAACAUACUCGGGGUGUGUUACCUUAGGACCUUUGGUCAUGAAGCAUCUUCCAAUUCCUUCAUUUGGUGAGUCAAAUAUGUCGUAGGAGUUGGUUGACACAAGUGCUAGACCGGCAACACCUUCAUCUUGAGUAUCUUCGGAGUCGGAGUGAUAACUUCUCUCGGAGUGGCUGUCGGAGUCGGAGCCGGAUACCCAUUCACCAACAUGAGCUUGAUGUCUUCGUUUUGUGUAGCUCCUUGAUGAUUUUUCCUUCCUUUCUGAAUCCUUGCUUCUCCGUGAGUAUCUUUGUUCAUAACGAUCAUCUCUACUCCUUCUCUCUCUUGGUGGUGAUUCUUUGCUUCUUCUUUUUGGAGAAUCUUCUCUUCUCUUGUAGGGAGCCGUACACUCAUUGGAAUAGUGUCCGGGUCUUCCACAACUGUAGCAGUUUCGCUCUCGACUAGAAGAUCUUUUGUCAUUGUAGGACCUUGACUUGAAGCUCAAUUCUUCAUUGAAGUUUUGUUUCUCACUUGAUGAUGUAGGGGCUUCACAUGAGGCUUUGUAGGCACCACUUGAUUUGUUGUGAAGUUCCUCUUUAUCCUUAAGUGACAUCUCAUGAGCAACAAUUCUUCCAAUCACCUCCGUUGGCUUGAGAUCUUUGUAAUUGGGCAUCAUUUGGAUCAAUGUGCACACGGUAUCAUAUUUUCCAUCCAAGGCUCUUAGAAUCUUCUUGAUGAUGAAUCUAUCGGUCAUCUCUUCACUUCCUAAGCCGGCAAUCUCAUUUGUGAUGAGAGCAAGCCUAGAGUACAUUUCAGCGACACCUUCACCAUCCUUCAUUUUGAACUUGUCAAGUUGACUUUGAAGCACAUCCAACUUGGAUUCCUUGACGGAGUCGGCACCUUCGUGCAUAUCAAUCAAAGUGUCCCAAAUUUCCUUUGCAUUCUCAAGACGGCUGAUUUUGUUGAAUUCUUCGGGGCACAGUCCGUUGAAGAGAAUAUCACAAGCUUGAGCAUUGUAUUGCAACAUCUUCAACUCAUCCGCGGUAGCUUCACGGUUUGGUUCUUUCCCAUCAAAGAAGUCACCUUGCAAACCAACACACACAAUAGCCCAAACGGCGGGGUUAUGUCCAAGAAUAUGCAUUUUCAUUUUAUGCUUCCAACUAGCAAAAUUAGUACCAUCAAAGUAAGGACCUCUACGGUGAUAAUUUCCCUCGCUAGACGCCAUACUCUCCUAGGUUGUGAAACCAAGGCUAUGACCACCAAAAGCUAUGGAGAUCAAAGCAAAUGGAGACCAAAGCUCUGAUACCAGUUGUAGGAUCGAAAGUAUGUCUAGAGGGGGGGUGAUUAGACUACUUGACCAAAUAAAAACUUAACCUUUUCCCAAUUUUAGUUCUUGGCAGAUUUUAGCUAUUGUAGGACAAGUCAAGCAAUCAUCACACAAUUCAAGCAAGCAUGCAAAGAGUAUAUUGGCAGCGGAAAGUAAAGCAUGCAACUUGCAAGAAUGUAAAGGGAAGGGUUUGGAGAAUUCAAACGCAAUUGGAGACACGGAUGUUUCUCCCGUGGUUCGGAUAGGUGGUGCUAUCCUACAUCCACGUUGAUGGAGACUUCAACCCACAAAGGGUAACGGUUGCGCGAGUCCACGGAGGGCUCCACCCACUAAGGGUAACGGUUGCGCGAGUCCACGGAGGGCUCCACCCAUGAAGGGUCCACGAAGAAGCAACCACCCACAAAGGGUCCACGAAGUAGCAACCUUGUCUAUCCCACCAUGGCCAUCGCCCACGAAGGACUUGCCUCACUAGCGGUGGAUCUUCACGAAGUAGCCGAUCUCCUUGCCCUUACAAACUCCUUGGUUCAACUCCACAAUCUUGUCGGAGGCUCCCAAGUGACACCUAGCCAAUCUAGGAGACACCACUCUCCAAGAAGUAACAAAUGGUGUGUAGGUAAUGAACUCCUUGCUCUUGUGCUUCAAAUGAUAGUCUCCCCAACACUCAACUCUCUCUCAUAGGAUUUGGAUUUUGUGGAAAGAAGAUUUGAGUGGAAAGCAACUUGGGGAAGGCUAGAGAUCAAGAUUCAUAUGGUAGGAAUGGAAUAUCUUGGUCUCAACACACGAGUAGGUGGUUCUCUCUCAGAACAUAUGAGUUGGAAUUGUGUAUGUAUUCUGAUGGCUCUCUCCACGAAUGAAGAGGAGGUGGAGGGGUAUAUAUAGCCUCCACACAAAAUCCAACCGUUACACACAGUUUUCCAAUCUCGGUGGGACCGAAUCAACAAACUCGGUCGGACCGAAAAGGUAAACCUAGUGACAGUUAGAGAUUUUCGGUGGGACUGACAUGCAACUCGGUAGGACCGAUAUGGUUAGGGUUUGGGCAUAACGUAAUCUCGGUGAGACCGAUUACACAAACUCGGUGAGACCGAUUUUGGUAAUUAGCUAACCAGAGAGUUGGUCAGGCAAACUCGGUGGGACCGAUUUGCUCUUUCGGUGAGACCGAAAAGUUACAAAAAGGAAACACUGAAUUUACAUUGCAAUCUCGGUGGGACCGAUUCGCUCUUUCGGUGAGACCGAAAAGUUACGAAAGGGAAACAGAGAGUUUGCAAUCCCAUCUCGGUGAGACCGAGAUCCCUAUCGGUAGAACCGAUUUGCUAGGGUUUGGCAGUGGCUUAUGACAAGUGAAACUCGGUGGCGCCGGAUAGAAAGAAUCGGUAGGACCGAGUUUGGCUUAGGGUUUAGGUCAUUUGUGGAUAUGGGAAAGUAGUUGAGGGUUUUGGAGCAUAUCACUAAGCACAUGAAGCAAGAUGCUCAUUAAGCAACACCUCGUUCCUCCUUGAUAGUAUUGGCUUUUCCUAAAGACUCAAUGUGAUCUUGGAUCACUAAAAUAUAAAAUGAAGAGUCUUGAGCUUUUGAGCUUGAGCCAAUCCUCUGUCCUUAGAAUUUUGAGGGUUCCACUUUCACCAUCCAUGCCAUGCCAAUCAUUGAGCUUUCCUGAAAUAAUCAUCUUGGAAUAGCAUUAGCUCAAUGAGCUAUAUGUUGUUAUGAAUUACCAAAACCACCUAGGGAUAGUUGCACUUUCAGUAAUACAUCAUCCCGCAACUAACUCAUUAGUUGCAAUGCUUGCAAGGCUUAAGUGAUGUGCAUUACCGAGAGGGCCCAGAGAUACCUCUCCGACAAUCGGAGUGACAAAUCCUAAUCUCGAAAUACGCCAACCCAACAUGUACCUUCGGAGACACCUAUAGAGCACCUUUAUAAUCACCCAGUUAUGUUGUGACGUUUGGUAGCACACAAAGUGUUCCUCUGGUAAACAGGAGUUGAAUAAUCUCAUAGUCAUAGGAACAUGUAUAAGUCGUGAAGAAAGCAAUAGCAACAUACUAAACGAUCGUGUGCUAAGCUAACGGAAUGGGUCAUGUCAAUCACAUCAUUCUCCUAAUGAUGUGAUCCCGUUAAUCAAAUGACAACUCAUGUCUAUGGUUAGGAAACAUAACCGUCUUUGAUCAACGAGCUAGUCAAGUAGAGGCAUACUAGUGACACUCUGUUUGUCUAUGUAUUCACACAUGUAUUAUGUUUCCGGUUAAUACAAUUCUAGCAUGAAUAAUAAACAUUUAUCAUGAUAUAAGGAAAUAAAUAAUAACUUUAUUAUUGCCUCUAGGGCAUAUUUCCUUCAGGUAGCCCAAUCCUUUUGAGGCAAAGGACAGGCCAAAACGGUCUCUUGUGAUAACCAAAGCGUUCUUGAGGGUACACGGGAAUUUCAUCUAGUCACUUUCAUCAUGUUGGUUUAAUUCGUGUUUGGUACUUUGAUGAUUUGAUAUGUCAGUGGACCGGUGCUUAGGUGUUGUUCUUAUUUGAAAAAAUCCCCUACUUAUGAUUAACCCUCCCGUAAGCAUCCGCAACUACGAGAAAAGUAUUAAGAAUAAAUUCUAACCAUAGCAUUAAACUUUUGGAUCCAAUCGGUCCCUUACAGAAUAGCGCAUAACUAGGGUUUAAGCUUCUGUCACUCUCUCAACCUAUCAUCUAAUUGCUACUCCACAAUGCAUUCCCUUAGGCCCAAAUAUGGUGAAGUGUCAUGUAGUCGACGUUCACAUGACACCACUAAGGGAAUCACAACAUACAUACUAUCAAAAUAUUGAACACAUAUCAAGUUCACAUGAUUACUUGCAAUAUGAUUUCUCCUGUGACCUCAAGAACAAAAGUAACUACUCACAAAUGAUAAUAAUGCUCAAGAUCAGAGGGGCAUUAAAUAGCUUAUUGGAUCUGAAUAUAUAAUCUUCCACCAAAUAAACCAUAUAGUAAUCAACUACAAGAUGUAAUCAACACUACUAGUCACCCACAAGCACCAAUCUAUAGUUCCGGUAACAAGAUUGAACACAAGAGAUGAACUAGGGUUUGAGAUGAGAUGGUGUUAUUGAAGAUGUUGAUGGAGAUUGCCCUCCCUAAGAUGGGAGAGUUGUUGGUGAUGAUGAUGACGAUGAUUUCCACCUCCGGGAGGGAAGUUUCCCCGGCGGAAUCGCUCCCGCCGGAGGGCAAAAGUGCUCAUGCCCAAGUUCCACCUCGAGACGGCGGGGCUCCGUCCCGAAAGUCCUUCCCUUAUUGUUCUAGGUCAAAAUGACCUAUAUACCAGAAGAUGGGCACCAGAGGUGGGCCUAGGUGAGCACAACCCACCAGGAUGCGCCUGGGCUCCCUGGCGCACCCAGGUGGGUUGUGCCCCACCUGGUGAGCCCCCUCUGGUAGUUAUUUGCUCCAAUAUUCCUCAAAUAUUUCAUAAAAAAUCCUCGUGAAGUUUUAGCUUGUUUGGAGUUGUGGAGAAUAGGUGGCCUGACGUAACUUUUCCAGGUCCAGAUUUCCAGCUGCCCGAAUUCUUCCUCUUUGUGUAUACCUUGUGUAUUAUGAGAGAGAAGGCAUUAGAAUUACUCCAAAAAGCAUUAUUAUGGAUAAAAACAUCAUAAAUAACAGUAAGGAAACAUGAUGCAAAAUGGAUGUAUCAGGGAGGUGCGGAAGCUUGGGGGCACGGCAGUGAUCGGCGGCGGCGACGGCUGAGGAGGAAGCCGCGGCGGCGGUGGGAGGCACGGCGGCGGGUGGGAGGGCGGGGGCGACCGGUGGCGGCUAGGUCUAGGAACGACCUGCGAUAGAUACCAUGUAGAAGACUGGAAUAUGUUGUGCAACUCAAUUGCAUUGAUCGGUGCACCAGACACGUAUAUAUGAUGUACAAAGGGGAUCACAACCUCAACUAUACAGAUGAACAAGGAGGUGGGCCCAAGACACAGUAUACACGUACACAAUAUAUUGAACAAUACAGUAUAUAGAUAUACUAAGCAGUGUCAUGGUACGUGCAUACGCAGGCAAGGUGCAUGCACAAAUUAUUUUCACUGCAUGGGUGAGAUAUUCACGUAUGUAUGCAGCCACUUUGCAAUGAUCAUCUAUUGUCAUGCACGUUACUCACAAGGAUUAGCCCCUGCAUGUGAUUUGUACGUGACAAUGUUAAAAUAUUCCGGCUAGCGCUCCAAACCUGACAUGAUGAUGUUUUUUGUUGUUGUUGUUGAGAAUGACAUGAUGAUGUUUUAGGGUUUAGUGGAUUGCUUCGGCGGUUCGGCCCAUGCGAGGAGCCUAGGAAAAUAUCAAUUGAUCCAUGCAACCGGAUAAGGAAGCCAACGAUCAUUCGGGAUAAAAUUGAUCUGCUCCGAUUUUCUGCCUAGCAACGCACCAGCGCAUCAAACAGAAAAUCGGCGGCGCCCCGCACCGGACGAGGCGCACCUUCAGCCCUAGCCCCUCGGCUCCUCCUCUCCGUAACCCCAAAUCCAGCGGCCAUCCCUCCCGAGUCCCGAGUCGUUUCUGUUGCCUAGCUAGUUGCCCCUCUCGCCUUUGGCGGCCGCGGCGGCUGAUCGGGGGUGGCGCAGGCAAAUCGCCGCUCUUGAAUCUGGUGACCAUCCCAUUACCUGCUCUUGAUCCGACUUUGUAAUUGCGGGAUUUGGGGGUACGUGUUUGAUUGUGAUACGUGCACAUGUUUGAACGGGAUUUAAGCUUUGCUGAGAUUUCGACGAUAAGUCUGCUAUUUUCAAGAGACUCUGGCGUGCGCGCCGUUGCCCGAAGAUUUUCGGUGUGACGAACCCUCGUUCGCUCGGCAGGCCGAUGGAACCCGAACUCCACAGCAGCAGCAAAUUGUUGGAGGUUCGUAUCAUCCUUUAAAUUCCAUCAGGUUGUGCGUUUGAAUGAGUGGAAACAAAUCAGUAGCUUGUUCGAAUAUAUGGGACAGUCAGUUUGUGCGUUUGAAUAUGUGGAAACAAAACAGAAGCUCGUUCGAAUACAUGGGAGAGGCGUGGAACUCAUCCAAUAACAAAACGCAAAGUUCUGAUUUUUUUUUUCUGUCUCUAUUUUCCGCUUAUGAAAAUGACAGGUUCUAGCCAAAUCACAUCCGUGCAAGAGCGUGUAGGAGGGUGCCAUGCAGGCAAAGGCUUUGGAUAAUAAGCUUAGUAAAGUAAAUACCUUUGCGAAUAAUUAUUCUUACUGUUUGUAUCCUUAAGUUACUGCUUCCUAAAUGGUAUCUUCAUCCGCAGAUUGCACAAGAUCGGGUCAUACAUUCUACAGGUACCUGUCACCGAUGCCACUUUGGUUAGGUCUUGCAACGAGUAUGUUCAUGCAAUUUUUUGGUGAUAGUGUCUUAAUUUUUUUUCGUCGUCUUAAACGUUGCAUUUCAUAGGUGGAUGAAUUUGCUCACCAUUUGUGUUGCCCGAGUUUGGUGGACCACUGCAGCAUGCCAUUUUCAAGAUACUAUAUGAUAAACUGGUUCAAGAGAACGAAGUGGCCAUACUAUAUGAUAAACUGGUUCAAAAGAACGAAGUGGCCGAAUGGAAGGUCGUUGCUGAUGCACAUGUACAUUUUAUGGAAUUCAAACGACGGUGUACCCAUUAAACCUCUCUAUGGUCCUCCUUUCCCAACAAUCCCACCAGUAAGUGACAUCCCUAUUAUUACGCUAUUAUUAUAUUUACUUUGGGUGUGACUAUGUUGUGAGUCUUCUAUUUUCAAAUAUACACCAACACAUAAGCUGUGACUCCUUCUCUAAUUGGGUCAUUUCUGUGUUUAUUUCUGGUUAAUUUGCUGCCGCUUAUCUCACUGUCAGCUUUACCUCCCGUUCGUCAUUCAGUGUUUAACCUCAAUUGUGUGAAUUUUUUUAUUUCCCAUCUGACCCUACUUGGAAUCGACAAACACAGAGAAGUUUGUAUCCACUCUAGAAAUAUGCAUAUCUACCAAGAGAAAAGCAUGUGUAAUGAAAAUAGAACAAUGAAACUUCGGAAUUUCUAAACUGCAGAGAUUUAGUUUGGCUAUUUCUAGACUACACUUUCUAUUACAUAGUUACAACGUGUCCCUCUAGAGUUACCUUCCAUGCAAAGAUACCAGGGACACCUAGAACCUUGUUCCUACAUGAUGCUGCUGUAUUAUCAGUCCUGGUUACACAUUAUUUUUGUCGGUGAAUAAAACUAAUCUUACUCCAUGCAUCUUUUUUGUUGGGUCAACAGGCCAACGGCCGUAGCAGGUCAAGCGAGAUGUUUUGUUCGAUAUUUCCUUGGUUAUCAAGUUAGUUUUUAGCCGUCAAGUUAGUUGUUUCACGGCCUAGGCCCCAACUUGUCUGCAGGCUAUAUGAAUGCCUUGCACCUUCUCGGGGAUAUAAAGCAUUCACAUAAUUACCUUAUAUCUUCUUUAUCGUUCCUAGAAGCUUAGAGUUUACCAAUUUGGGAUCACAACCAUGUACGAUGGCGGACGAUGACAUAGAGGAGCAACACAUCACCGAGACCAUCGAAAUGAUCGCCCUCUAGCUUGAGAACUUCACAUGCGAGCGAGGGGAGGAGCAUGCAUUCUUAGCGGAGGCGUUGCAAUGCCUCACAACACCUCUCCGGCCCAACAACAAUGAUGUUGGAGCCUCAACAUUGUGACCGUCUACCGCCAGCCUCUCUAGAUCAACCGCCAAUCUUAGGCUUACCACCAAAUGUUCGCCUCCCUCCCAUAACCACUAAUAUUCUCCCGACCCCCACAUCCCACCACCACAACCACCCUUCCACCCUCUGCCUACCAUGCUUCGUCCUUCCGCGCACCAACAAAUGUCGAAAAUUAAUCUUCGAGCAACAUCCUACCAACACUUGCCAUAUGCUAUUCUCUUUCUUAACCACAGUCACCAUCUUGGUUGCUGGCAAGCACACACCUUCUCAACUAUGGCUACACACCCCCAUUGAGCACCGUCCCAACCCUACCAACCCACAACCAGUAUGCCUCCGGCUCGAGCUUCAGCAACCUUGUGCUUCCACAAGCUUGAUUGCCCACUUAUCACAGCUUGAUUGCCCACUUAUCACGGCUUGAUCGACCUGCACAUGUGGCUGAACCGUUGUGAGUAGUUCUUCUGUGGCAAACGCAUGGAGGAAGUCAAAAAAAACGUGGACGACAUCCUAUCACCUAAAUGAUGAGUCAUGACUAGGGUAAGCCAUCCUAGGAGCAAUUAAGGAGGUGUGCAAUUUGUGGUUUGGUCCAUCCAUCCGCCAACCCCCUCGGCUAGCUGGCUUACAAUUCACCACCUUGAGACAUGGAGUUGAACUCUUUGCCCUUAUCUCUCAUAACAGUGAACUAGGUGACCCCAACUCAACAGCAUAUCUUGAACAUGGAGGGGUUGCUCUAGGGGUUGCACACCGACCUUAAGCUCCAACGACCCCCUUCACUUACACACCACCAUCACCAUUGCAAAAGGCACAUGAAUAUCCGCAUCUACAACCUUCGUCUUUGACUCGAGUGACAUGGACCCGAUGACACACCUUGGGUAUAGGUGGAAUCCCCUAUCGGACAUCUCGACCAACAAUGACUCCAUCAACACAUCUGAUGAGUACCCCACCACCAUCACUGUAACGCCUCACCCAUGUGGAGAUGUUCAAACAACGACAAUAAGGCUUGUGCUACCAUUCCAAAAAGCAAUAUAUAUAUGAGUUGCUUGUGUGUGUGGCUAUUCUACGUGGAGCUCGAUGGCAUCACAUCGGACAAUGUUAGGCGACACCGGCAAAUUGAUGAGCCCCAGGUGUCACUGCACACCAUUACCAACAUUAGAAGCAUAUGCGCGACACGCAAUGCAACUCUGUGUGCACAUAGGGACAAUCUUGUAUGUCAUUUUAAUGGGCACAUGAUCCAUUCAGAAUUUCAUUGAUGCCUCAGCGUCUUUGCUUUCUCGUGUCAUCUUCGUCAUUGAGUGGUAGAGUUUCUUCAUCCCUGGCUUGUCGCUCUCGUGUAUAGUCAUAGUGACCAUUUCCACCUUUUCACUAAUCAAUCGGUUUUCACAUUGUGGAACCAUGUCAUGAUGUUGAAGACCACUGAUCCUAGCAAUGAUACCUACCACAUGCUGGCGGGAAGGUGUUAUAUGCACCUCUUCAUCUCUCGUUGCACUCAUUGGGUGUCACGUGCCAUGAUCCAGAUGAUUCUUUCAUCAAUUUUUACUCUCAUGUGUACCGUGACUCGAUCGUUCUACUAUCUGGUUGAGGUUUACAUUUAGUGAUGAUGUGAGAUGAAAAGCAGACAAUGAACGAAAGGUGGUAUGUCCAUGUACGGGUCUACAUGGACCAAAUGUCGCUUCACCUCGGGUCCAUCGAAGGUGUCGAGUUGCUUCUCGACAAGAAAUAUAUUGUCGAUCCUUUUGACACUUGCACAUCACAAGGAAGACACUACUGUCUUUAGUUGUUGAGUGUCGUGUUUUAGUCUAAACAAGAUUCCACGUAGCUAAGCUUCCACCUUCUUGGUGUGCAUGCCAUAUUAUGGAGGUUUUCUUGCCACCCUUCGGGAGGUUGCCUCAACACCUAAUGGUCUGCUCUUUGAUGAUCCCAUCCAGCUUGAUCGUGUCGAGGACUAAUGGGUGUUUGCCAUGCGUUUCCCCAGUUCACGCCAAAGCGGAUUCCCUCGCUUAGCUUUGAGGAUGAGCCGCCAUACCCGCCAGUCUAUUCCUUUAUUUGGUGGCCAGGUGUGCCUCACAAAGAGGGUCAAUCUAUCUGAUCUGAAUUGAUGCAGUGACGGCCCCUUGUUCGACCACCACCUUAAUGUGUGCGAUGAUUCAUUUUGCCGUCAUAGUUCUUGCCAUGAAUGUUUGGUCGUCGUAGUUCCUACCAUGAUUCGGUCAAGGGUCCGUGGCCAGCAUGAUAGUUGCACGCCUACACGUAGUCGCCAGAGAGCCAUUUCGCUACCUUUCUUGGUCUACUACCUCACUCCAGUAGAGACGAUGGAGGUGCUUUCGAAGUUUCCCAAUGAUGGCCUCCUACUCAACUCGCUCUCUCAGCCGAUGGGUCCACUAGUACCACUUGUGUCAUCUCCUACGUACAUUGUUGGGGCCUUGUCUGUCAGCCACAGCCUACUUCCUAUGCCAUAUCGUCUUCCCAGCCAAUUUGUGCAUGUAUGCUUUUUGGAGUGACCCACUCGUGAAUUCUGGCUUAGAGUGGGUUGACUCUGAGUGUCCAUAGUUUUGUGCAAUUUUUUGUUGGCUAUGAAUCUCUCACCCACCCGAGAGGGCCUUUCCAAAUCCCAUUUGUGUUGUGGGGCAGAUCCAAGGUCAUGUGGAGCAGCUCGGUCUGGAGGAUGGGGCUAUCAAGACAGGAGUUUGCUAGAGCUCUAGGACUCACACACAGACGUAGCGGGCUACAACCCAAAAAUAGCUCGCUCGCCUCGCUUCGUUAGGAUCGCUCAGGAAAGCUUGCACGCUUUCUUCAAAAAAAGGGCAUGCUCACACACUAGAUGUUGUUGCUCUCCUCGUUUACAAAAAACAUUACUAUAAAAAAUCAUUUUCUAAAAUCUGAAACAAUGGUUAAAUGAAAAUGUCCAUGAUUUUCAAAUAAAUGUUCUUGAACUUGAAGUAAGUUUGUGGAUUUGAAAAAUAUUGACGAAUUGAAAAAUGUUCAUGAAUUCAAAAACAGUUCGUGAAUUUGGAAAAAAUGUUCACAUAGUUGAAAAAAGGAUCACGAAUUUGGGGAUUUGAAAAAUCUUCACGACUUUUUAGAAUGUUAUUGAAUUAUUGAAUUUGAAAUUUGUUCUUGGUUUCCAAUAAUGUUGAAGAAUUUUAUAAAAAAACAUGAAAUUAUUAUUUGCUGAUAAUAAUAAAAAAGGAAAAAGAAAAAACAUGAACGGAAAACCAGCAAAAAAGAGAGAGAAGAAAAACCAAUCUCAAUGUCGAAAGCUUCUAGAAGCUUAACAAAACCAGUUUGGUGUUCAUGUGUAGAAGCGAUACUAGAUGGGCCCAUCCUUAGAGCAAGUGUGAGCACCUUCUAUAUAUUGUUAUGGAUAUAACCAACACUAUAAGCGCCAAAUAGGGUUUCACCUCUAAGAAGCCCACCUAUGUCAGUGGGCCUAUUAUCGAGGUCCAACUUCUAGGUAGCUAUCACUUCCAACCCUUACUUGUUAGGCCUAUAUACCCCAAAUAGUCUUGUUGUCAGGUUUAGAAUGUGCUGCACCAUGUUCCUAACCUGAACAUCUCCAAUGAUGAAACCAUAUUUGGUGGGAUCCUUCAGUCUUUUAUCCACUAUAUGUUGGUGGCACUAGAUAUGUAUCCCCAUCAAGGAUUGACAUCCGUGCUUGCUUGAGGGUGCUCAUUUCGAAGAGGAAGAGCACUAGGCAUGUUCUAUUUAAUCAGCCAUCCCAAUGAUAAAGCAUGUCUUGGAUCUAACUUAGUAGUGUGUGGACGUUGUUGUUGCGGCACUUGUGGAAAGGUUCCAGUAGCCCAAGAGGAGAGUUGAUAUCAGUGUCCUCGUCCUCACUCACAUCAACUUCCUAUCCAGGCAGUCUCAGUAUUUCGUUAUUCUUUUAGGUUCCACUUAGUCUACCCAACCAACACGGUUAAGGUGUUGUUAAUGUGUGACCUUGUAACUUAUGACGAUAGGUAGUUGUACUAUUGUAUCCGUGUACUAUGUAUAUUGCACACAAGUCAUACAUGUGGCACCCUGAUCCAAAGGACUGUAAUGGAGGCCCACAUCAAUGCUAGGAUCAGACACUCGUGUGUAUUACAAGAAUGUUAUCAAGAGCAAGCAUAAAGAGUACGAACAGUUUAUAGGACCACAUGUGCUAGAACUAUUUAGUGAACCAUGCUAGCCCCUUAUACCCGCCUCACGACAACUGAAACCAGAUCUAACCGGCGACAACUGAAGCAACAUCAAAAGACACUACAAAAACGUAGUGAUUCCGGCCUCACGACAUCUGAAACAAGAUCUAACCGGCGGCAACCAUAGCAACAUCAAAAGACAGUACAAAAACAUAGUGAUUCUGUUCCCACAGGGUACUGACUUGGUUACCAACUAGCCCUCGAAUGUAGCAUCUUGCCUUCAAGGUGAAGAUGUAGUGGAAGAAUCUGGCACAUGAAAAGCUAGGUGGGUACUUUAAAUGUGUUUGCGAGACAAAAAAACAUAGACAAACAAGGCAUGGUUAGGAAUUUUCAAUAAUAAAAUGACUAAAGGGCUUAAUGGGAAAUACUAUUGUCAUGCAUUUGUCAAAAAAAAAUAACACGAAGGCAUGAAAAAACAACUGAUGACUAGAGCAUCAUCGACCUUAAUGCUAUGCUUUUACAGAAAGUUUUUCCACCCAUCGCUAAGUCCAUUCCUGGUGACAAGAUACUUGGCAUGGUCGCUCCGCCCUUCCUCGUCUUUUUGUCUCAUUAUAGUAUCUUUCUCUGGAAGCUUUUCUCUCUUAAAUUACUCGGGAGACCCUUGGAUUGGAGCAACAAAACAUAACCGUUAAGGUCGACGAUGCCAUGGUCUUUUGACUCGUGAAAUCGGAAAAUUCAUGUGAGUUGUUUAAUCAAUUGACAUGUCAUUCUUUCUUGUUAUUGUUUUGUCAAAUGCUCAGCGGAAUUAGUGCCCAUCGACCCCUUCAUUGAUUUUAUUAUUGAAAAUUUCCAUAUUGUUUCUAGAUCUAUACAGUAAUAGAGGAAGAGUUUAUGACAACUGACGAGGAUGUCUAGUCUAAGAGCAUCUCCAGCCAUUUGGCCCCCCAGGACGCAUAAAAAUCGCCCCCUGGGGGCGAGCCGGCGAUGCAAUCGGCGUUGGGGGCAGUUUCGCGCCCAGUCGUCGCCCCCAGCCGCCGAAAUUGGCCCACUUUUUAGCCCCAUUUUGGCGAAUAAAGGGCUCAUAUGGGCGACAAUAGGCCCAUAUUUGGCGUGGUUUGCCAUUUUUCGGCGUUCAAUUAUGCACAUAAAUUUUUUUAUCACAUAUUUCAUCACAAAAAUAUCAAAUACUUCAACAAAAUAGUACAGCAACAAAUAGCUCAGUACAAAUUAUAUAGUUCAACAAAUAAAACUCAUAUUUCAUCACACGUCGCGCCCAGCGUCGCCCUUGAGCCUCCAUAGAUGCUCUAUCAGAUCUUGCUGCAGUUGAUGAUGCACCUGUGAGUCUCGGAUCUCCUGACGCAUACUAAGAUAGGCAGUCCAGGUUGCCGGUAGCUGGUGAUCAACUUCGGCUAGAGGACUCUGCCUAUAGUAUGGUUCAGUGUCAAACACUGGGUCUUCUUGCUCGCUCUCGAUGAUCAUGUUGUGCAAGAUGACACAGCAAGUCAUAAUCUCCCACAUUUAAUCUUUCGACCAGGUCUGAGCGGGGUAUCAGACAACAGCAAAUCAAGAUUGGAGCACACCAAAUGCCCGCUUGACAUCCUUCCUGCAAGCCUCCUAAACCUUCGCAAACCAUGCGUUCUUGCCUCCUAGCACAGGGUUUGAGAUUGUCUUCACAAAUGUCGACCAUCUCGGAUAGAUGCCAUCAGCUAGAUAGUACCCCUUGUUGUAGUGCCGCCCAUUGAUCUCGAAGUUCACCGGAGGAGAAUGACCUUCAACAAGCUUGGCAAAGACAGAAGAGCAUUGCAGCACGUUGAUGUCAUUGUGAGUUCCUGGCAUACCAAAGAAGGAGUGCCAAAUCCAGAGGUCCUGUGUGGCCACCGCCUCAAGCACCACACUGCAACUGCCUUUGGCGCUUUUGUACAUCCCCUGCCAAGCAAAUGGGCAAUUCUUCCAUUUUCAAUGCAUGCAGUCGAUGCUUCCAAGCAUCCCAGGAAAUCCUCUUGCUGCAUUCUGUGCUAGGAUCCGAGCAGUGUCUUCCGCAUUGGGUGUUCUCAAGUAUUGUGGUCCAAACACUGCCACCACUGCCCGACAGAACUUGUAGAAACACUAUAUGCUGGUGGACUCGGCCAUGCGCCCAUAGUCGUCGAGUGAAUCACUAGGAGCUCCAUAUGCAAGCAUCCUCAUCGUUGUCGUGCACUUCUGGAUGGAGGUGAAUCCAAGAGCGCCGAUGCAAUCCAUCUUGCACUUGAAGUAGUUUUCGAACUCCCGGAUGGAAUUCACAAUCCUGAGGAAGAGCUUUCGGCUCAUCCGAUAACGGCGCCGAAAUGUUUUCUCGCCGUGAAGUGGAGCAUCGGCGAAGUAGUCGGAGUAGAGCAUGCAGUAGCCUUCGAGACGAUGCCGGUUCUUUGCUUUCACCCGCCCAGGCGCCGAGCCGCCUCACCGCGGCUUUUCAUUGCUCGCCAGCAGCUGGGCAAGUGCGGCGAGCACCAUGAGAUGCUCUUCUUCCUGGACGUCGGCCUCGGCUUCCUCCUCCAGCAGUGCGGCGAGCGCUUCCUUGUCAUUCGAGUCCAUCGCUGAGGCAGACAAAUCGCCGAACACCUUGCGCUCGGUGGGCGUGUACCCGCCGCUAAAUCGUGCCUUCGCGGCCGGAAACGGCGGCCGGAAACGCCCAGCUGUUGUUGGAGGGGCUGCCGCGGCGAAGCGCUGCUAUUUUUCCGGCGGGGAAUGGCUAUCUAGUGGUGUAGGGCGACGGGCGGCGCCGGGAUAUAGCUACUGGUGGCCGAGGGCGCGAGGGGUGGGAGGCGAGUCGGGGAAGAAAACCUUGACUUUUCCCCUGACGGUGUGGGCCAGCCACGCUUUUCCCUUGCGCCGGAGCCCCCAACUGCUCCCUAGUGCGCCGGGUUCGGCUUGUGACCGCCGGGCGGAAAAAAGGGCCGAACCGGCGAUUUUCGGCGUCCUGGGAGAGCGACUGGGGCGUUUUUUCCGUGUCGGCGCCGAAAAAGUGGCCUGGGGAGGCUUGUUGGGGGCGCGGCUGGAGAUGCUCUAAGGAGGAGGGUCCAAAGAUUAUCACCAGAGUUAGCAUCACAUCAACCAACGAUGAUAGCAACAACGACCUAGCAGCCAACGAUAAUGGUCAGCCACCAUUAGUGGAUAUAGUGAGAGCUCUUAAGCCGAGGAUGGUGAUUCUCAAGGAUGCUCUCAAGGCGGUGAAUGAGAUGGUGGAGGAACUCGAGUCGAGCGAAAGAAGACCAUACAUGUUGUGCUCAACUCCAGCUCCUCAUUCAUUGCACGGAUAGUAUCUUGAGAGUCGUCAUCCUUGAACGGAGGGCUCUCGUCUUCACUAACGUUAAGUGAACAUCAUCCUUGGUUGCUAGGUUGUUGUUGCCAUCAUUAUUCGUUGUUUUGUUGCUAACUCUAAUGGUAACUUUUGGAUCCUCCUUAGAAUUGACAUCACAGUUAGUUGUCGUCACCUCGUACACAGAAAAAUAAGAUUUUUUAGUAACAAAUAACAAAAUGACUAAAGGAAUAAAUGGGCACUACUCCUUGCAUGCAUUUGAUAGAAAAAUUACGCAAAAAAAUCACAAGGCUGAUGACUAGGGCGUCCUCGACCUUAAGGCUAUGUUAUUCUGCAAAGUCUUUCCACCCACCAUUGAGUCCAUCCCUGAUGAUAAGAUACCUCACAGAGUAUUUUAUCAACAUGGAUGAACUUAGUGAUGGGUGGAAAAACUUUGUGGAAAAGCAUAACCUUAAGGUCGACGACCCUAGUCAUCAAUUGCCUUGCAUGCAUUUGACAGAAAAAUAACGCAAAGAAAUCACAAGGCAAUUGAUGACUAGGGUGUCACCGGGGAUGGACUCAGUGGUGGACGGAAAAACUUUGUGGAAAAGCAUAACCUUAAGGUUGGCGAAACCCUAGUCAUCAUUGCCUUGUCGUUCCUUUGUGUUGUUUUCUGUCGAAUGCAUGGCAGAAGCAAUGUCGAUUAAUCCGUUGAGAAAAUUCCUUAUUUAACACUGUCUUAAAAUCUGGUUCCUUAUUUGACACUGGAAAAGUUAUUCUUCCCUAUUUGACACUUGUCCUAAAUUUUAUUCCCUAUACGACACUUCUGUCCAUUUUGAGCCUAAAUGACACCUUUAAAGACGAUUUUGCCCCUCAUGCGGUAUGUAUGUGCGCGCAUGUGUGUGCUGUUGCGUGUGUGGGUGCACGCGCACAUGUGUGCUGCCGCUGCAUGUGUGUGUGCAUAUGUGCUGCAGUGUGUGUUUGCUACUGCGUGUGUACGUGCGCGCGCGUGUGUGCUGUUGCGUGCCUAUGUGNNNNNNNNNNNNNNNNNNNNNNNNNNNNNNNNNNNNNNNNNNNNNNNNNNNNNNNNNNNNNNNNNNNNNNNNNNNNNNNNNNNNNNNNNNNNNNNNNNNNNNNNNNNNNNNNNNNNNNNNNNNNNNNNNNNNNNNNNNNNNNNNNNNNNNNNNNNNNNNNNNNNNNNNNNNNNNNNNNNNNNNNNNNNNNNNNNNNNNNNNNNNNNNNNNNNNNNNNNNNNNNNNNNNNNNNNNNNNNNNNNNNNNNNNNUGCGUGUGUGUGUGUGCACGUGCGCGUGCAUGUUGUUGCGUGUGUGUGUGUGUGUGCAUGUGCGCGUGCGUGUUGUUGCGUGUGUGUGCGCGUGUGUGUGUGUUGGUACAUGUGUAUGUGUUGCUGUGUGUGUUCUCUUGCCCUCGCACUGAUGCUGCGUGCGUGCGCUAUUGCCCCUUACACACAUACCACAUGAGGGGCAAAAGAGUCUUUUCAUGUGUCAUUUAGGCUCAAAAUGGACGGAAAUGUCAUAUAGGGAAUAAAAUUUAGAACUUGUGUCAAAUAGGGAAGAAAAACGUUUCCAGUGUCAAAUAAGGAAACAGAUUUUAAGAUAGUGUCAAAUAAGGAAUUUUCUCUAAUCCCUUGGUCAUUUUAUCACUAAAAAUUCCUAUUCUUUCCUAUGUGUAUAUAGGAAGAGAGGAUGAGGUGAUGACUGCUGAUUGUGAUGUCAACUCUAAGGAGGAGGAUUGUCGUGUUUAGGGACUAGGGGUGUCCUCUUUGUGGUACGACGCUCGUCUCAUUUGUGGUCCCGAUGAGGGGCUAACACGCUCAAGAUCGACUUCUACUCCAUGAUGAUGAAGAUGAAUUGACACGGUGAUUCUUACUCAAAAUUAGGACACUCGGAAGCGUAAAACCCUACGUCCUGCUGGUUGAAUUCACUCGAUGGUGAAGCUUGAUGUUUUAAAGCGCUGAGCACUCCUUGCCAGGAUCUAGCCUAGCUUUGUAGUGUCUUAAAAUGCCAAGGGUUGAAACCCCUACUAUGUAGCCAUGGGCCUCCUUUAUACCUAAGGGGCCACCACAUGUGGCUAUUAUAGCAGAACACCUUUAUAUUAAAUACGGGGGUAUGUGUCGCUCGGAGCUCUUGCCGGAAAGCAAGAUGCAUGUCUUAACCCCCACUAUGUAGCCAUGAGCCUCCUUUUAUGCCAGGAGCUCUUGCCGGGGAGCAAGAUGCCUGUCUUGUCAUACCACUUGUGGUGUAUUUGCUCUGACCGUAAGGUGUUGAGUACGUGGUAAAUGACCGCAAGGUGUUGAGUGGUGUAUUUGCUCUGACCGUAAGGUGUUGAGUACGUGGUAAAUGACCGCAAGGUGUUGAGUACGCGGUAAAAAAAGGGUGGUGAUUCACCCGCGUCUUCGCCUAACUGCAUCGUGCCAGGCUGCCACCCAAUCAUCCCUAUAGUCUAGGCCCACCGCCGUAAGCCCCUGUAGCAGCAGCUGUCGCCAAAAAGUGACCAGUUUAUGUGCAUUUUGUUCUCUUGAUGAACACAACUACUCCCGUUCUAAAAUAAAUGACUCAACUUUGUAUUAACAUUAGUAUAAAGUUGGUUCAUCUAUUUUGCAACGGAGGGAGUAUCUGUGAGGAAAACAAAGACGAAUACAGACUAAGGAUCAGAUCUCACCAGAGACAAUUGCUUUUUCGCUCAUUAGAUAUUUCCAUGCUAGCAACUACUUGUACAUAGGGGCUACAACUACUUGUACAUAGGGGCUACUUCUCCCAUAUAUGUACAACACAUCAGCUAUUAUGCAAACCAUCUGACUAUGUAGCCACACAAUUGGUUUUAUUUGCAUUUUUCAGCUCCACGUGAGAAAGUUGUGCUGAAAUGGAGAGAGGCAUGACUUUAUCCUCGACAACCUCAUCAGUGUGCAACACAGGAGUUGUGGGCGAGUCAUCCGAUUAUGUUUGACAGAUGACAGAACUUGUUUGCACCAGCUUAUACCAUCUUUUUAGUCCAAAUACGGGGACGCACAUGUGAUAUGCCUCUUCAAGCUGUGCAAAUUGGUGGGAUGUUUAUUACUAACAUGUACUUACUCUUCAAACCCCUGUACAACGCCGUUACAUGUGCUCCAGUGAAGUGCAGUACCCGGCUGGCACAGAACCUAUCAAGUUUUUGACAGUCU
rnacentral:lncRNA from 1 species